AGAGAGAGAGAGAGAGAGAGAGAAGUCAACGAGGAGAGAGAAAGACAGUCGAGCUGCAACGUCAUGCCCUCUCUGUGGUGAGCUGAUAUCUAUCUGGAAGAACUUACUUCUUGGAGAAACGUUCUCUCUCCUUUCUCUCUGCCGGUGCGAAGAAUUCCUCUAUUUCUCUCUCCGACGCCGCCAGCGACGUGACCGUUGAGGUUGCCGGCGGCGGCGCUUCCAUUUUGCAUCGGCCGCCGGCGUCGGCGGGCGUCGCCGUUGAUGCCAUGUCCUCUGCCUCCUUCCUUCUGAGCUCCUUUAUGGUCGUUUCCUCUCUACAUAGCAUUAAACAAAGACCGCCUGAGGAUGAAUACACGAAGAAUAGAAGGAGAAGCAACGAGUAACGGAAGAAGGAAGAGAUGGUGAUCGUCUGCUCGUCCGUUGCCGGAAUAAAUUCUCAGACAUAUCAUCAUGGGUUGGAAUUACGCUGAGAGAGAGAGAGAGAAGAAGAAGAAGAAGAAGAAGAAGACCAACCGACCUCCCUAGCUCACGGUCGUAAUUAGAUUCGGAACCUUCGGCGACCUGUGAACGGCAAAAACACUUAACUUCGUUAGAAUCGGGAGACGAUUCAAACAGGGAAUAACGGCUCUCCAUUUCCGACAAAUGAGGAGGAACGCUCAAUCCGUCAAUAACCGUUUUUCUUCGCCCCCUCACCUCCGUCGCCGUCGCCGCCGCUUCCUCCAUGCGUGGCACUUCGCCGGCGAACCUGCAGACCCGAUCCCAGUCUUCGUCAUUGCUCCCCUUCUCCGACGAGGUUCUGAACCAUUGCGCCCUCAUGUUCUCCCACUUACCCACUCCUUGGGAAAUUCUCCGGCUUCGCAGCUGGAGGCAGGCGACCUCAAAGUCUCCUUCUGUAACUCUCUUUCUCUUCGCACCGCCGCUCGCAGCGGCAGCGCCGCCAUCCUCUCCGACGCCGGCGGACACCGCCAGCGAAGGGGAAAGUACCCUUUCCUUCGUCUCCAUUCUGACCACCGGGGUCAGAUCCAUCAACCUCUCCUCCCCUCCCUCUGGUCUCUCCUUCACUUCCAGCUCUUCGGCCAUUUUAUUUUCUCUCUUUCGAACGCAGAAGACACUCGAGGCUGUCUCCCUUGUGGGUAAGAGGGGGUGUAAGUGGGGUCCACAGACGAACCUCGUAUUAGAAAGCCCCCCCAUGCGAGGGUAGGCAAGGAAGGUUCUCACUCCACGUGGCAGGUCGACGUCGUCAUCAUGAUAAGAUGGGGCCCGGCGGUGGGGCCUACGUUGGGAAAAUGCCGUCAUUAAGAGGAUCUGAGCAAGUCCUCUCAAUUGGCUACUUCAUGAGGGUGUGGUUGACCCACAAUUACUCUCCUUCUGUUGACAAAGACAGAGCGUCUCCCCGUUGACCAGUUCUAUGGAUUCCACGUAAGAUAAGAGCGUCCUUAUUUGGUCAAAAAAUCUUCAUUUAUUACCUACUUUAUUGUAUAAUGUCUAUUUGUAUGAUAUGAAAGUAAUCUAUACUUUGAUGAUGGAUCAGUACCAAUUAACUUGGUUGACUGGUUUAAAGGUCAACUAGGUUGGUGUGGGACUGCCCAUCAGUUUGUCCUUUUCUGGUACUUCAAUGAGAAGUCCUCCACUUUCCGAACAUGUAAAAGGAUUAAAAGGCCGGGAACCUCAUUUAAUCAAUCGAAAAAGACAUUUCUCAUAAAUGUACAGAAAAUUGUGGUUCUUCAUGACCAUCUACGUCCAUCUCUAGCCAUUUUUAGAACCCAAUAUUUUGUGGAUGCGGGCGCUCUCUAUUCGGGUACACUACCAUUUAAUAAAUAUAUUUAAGUAAUGCAUAGUAAUAUUCCCACAAGUGUAUUCUAACACAUAUGUAGCUUUUAUAUAAGAAUAUAAUGAUAAAGACAAGGUCAUACACAGUAAACUAUUUCUAGACUCGGUAUGAUUCUCAACGUCUUCUUUGAUACUAUUACUCCCGAAUGUAUGUUUCAUGUCAUUUGGCAGUAAGGUCCAUAUCUGCGGUGAAGGACCACUCUCUCUCUUGGUUGGUACACUCCCAUAUGAUAAAUUUAUUUUAGUAAUGUAAAGUAAUAUUCCUACAAGUCUCCGACAUAGAUAUAUCUUUUAUAAAGUAAUAAAAGUUACGGGGUCACUGUCAAUUCUAUCAAGACUCGGUUUAAUUUUUAGCCUGUUUAUAGUAAUAUUUAGACGUGCUGGUAUGUUUGAUGUUCCCCUGAAGAAAGGUGCGCAUCUGCGCGGGAGGACCACCCCCUCCUCUCUGGGUCUCCUUCAGAUUGGCUUCAGAUCAGAUCAGAGGGCCCAUGGGCUUGGGUAGCUGGAGGGAGGAAGGAUGAAGAAGAAGAAGGGAGAAGGGAGAAGGGAAAAGGAAGAAGUAAGAAGGAAGAAGGAAGAAGGAAGAAGGAAGAAGAGGAAGCCCCCUCCCAACUGGUGCCAGAGGGAGGAGCCUUCUUUUACCUGCAAAGGGGCUCCUUGGCCCCACGGGGCUCGCAUCAUAGAAGGGGACCUCCUACUUCUGGACAUGGCUUUCACCUUUGCGCCUUCUCUUCUUUCCCUCUCGCUUUAAACGAGGCCGCCAGUCCGUCUUUCUCUAACCCCAUCGCCGCCUCUUUCUCCCUUUUCACCUCUCUGAUGAGGUGCAGCCAUCUCCGCUGGUUCCUCAAGGCGGGGGAGUUGCCAUAGGGGGCCUCCCAAGCUGCUCGAGCUGUCUACAAGGAAUCUCUCUCUCUCUCUNNNNNNNNNNNNNNNNNNNNNNNNNNNNNNNNNNNNNNNNNNNNNNNNNNNNNNNNNNNNNNNNNNNNNNNNNNNNNNNNNNNNNNNNNNNNNNNNNNNNNNNNNNNNNNNNNNNNNNNNNNNNNNNNNNNNNNNNNNNNNNNNNNNNNNNNNNNNNNNNNNNNNNNNNNNNNNNNNNNNNNNNNNNNNNNNNNNNNNNNNNNNNNNNNNNNNNNNNNNNNNNNNNNNNNNNNNNNNNNNNNNNNNNNNNNNNNNNNNNNNNNNNNNNNNNNNNNNNNNNNNNNNNNNNNNNNNNNNNNNNNNNNNNNNNNNNNNNNNNNNNNNNNNNNNNNNNNNNNNNNNNNNNNNNNNNNNNNNNNNNNNNNNNNNNNNNNNNNNNNNNNNNNNNNNNNNNNNNNNNNNNNNNNNNNNNNNNNNNNNNNNNNNNNNNNNNNNNNNNNNNNNNNNNNNNNNNNNNNNNNNNNNNNNNNNNNNNNNNNNNNNNNNNNNNNNNNNNNNNNNNNNNNNNNNNNNNNNNNNNNNNNNNNNNNNNNNNNNNNNNNNNNNNNNNNNNNNNNNNNNNNNNNNNNNNNNNNNNNNNNNNNNNNNNNNNNNNNNNNNNNNNNNNNNNNNNNNNNNNNNNNNNNNNNNNNNNNNNNNNNNNNNNNNNNNNNNNNNNNNNNNNNNNNNNNNNNNNNNNNNNNNNNNNNNNNNNNNNNNNNNNNNNNNNNNNNNNNNNNNNNNNNNNNNNNNNNNNNNNNNNNNNNNNNNNNNNNNNNNNNNNNNNNNNNNNNNNNNNNNNNNNNNNNNNNNNNNNNNNNNNNNNNNNNNNNNNNNNNNNNNNNNNNNNNNNNNNNNNNNNNNNNNNNNNNNNNNNNNNNNNNNNNNNNNNNNNNNNNNNNNNNNNNNNNNNNNNNNNNNNNNNNNNNNNNNNNNNNNNNNNNNNNNNNNNNNNNNNNNNNNNNNNNNNNNNNNNNNNNNNNNNNNNNNNNNNNNNNNNNNNNNNNNNNNNNNNNNNNNNNNNNNNNNNNNNNNNNNNNNNNNNNNNNNNNNNNNNNNNNNNNNNNNNNNNNNNNNNNNNNNNNNNNNNNNNNNNNNNNNNNNNNNNNNNNNNNNNNNNNNNNNNNNNNNNNNNNNNNNNNNNNNNNNNNNNNNNNNNNNNNNNNNNNNNNNNNNNNNNNNNNNNNNNNNNNNNNNNNNNNNNNNNNNNNNNNNNNNNNNNNNNNNNNNNNNNNNNNNNNNNNNNNNNNNNNNNNNNNNNNNNNNNNNNNNNNNNNNNNNNNNNNNNNNNNNNNNNNNNNNNNNNNNNNNNNNNNNNNNNNNNNNNNNNNNNNNNNNNNNNNNNNNNNNNNNNNNNNNNNNNNNNNNNNNNNNNNNNNNNNNNNNNNNNNNNNNNNNNNNNNNNNNNNNNNNNNNNNNNNNNNNNNNNNNNNNNNNNNNNNNNNNNNNNNNNNNNNNNNNNNNNNNNNNNNNNNNNNNNNNNNNNNNNNNNNNNNNNNNNNNNNNNNNNNNNNNNNNNNNNNNNNNNNNNNNNNNNNNNNNNNNNNNNNNNNNNNNNNNNNNNNNNNNNNNNNNNNNNNNNNNNNNNNNNGAGAGAGAGAGAGAGAGAGAGAGAGAGAGAGGGAGAGAAGUGACCGAUGCCAAGGGGGUGUAUCAGCUGGGUACGGGUGCAUUCUUAUGAGUUCGUUUAUUGGACCUCGAUCAGCAUGGAUCCUCGCUUGUUGGUGGUACCGUCUUUUCUCAUGCAGACAAUUCUGUUCCUCGCAUACCAUCGUUGGCAAUCAAUCUUGGGGUAAAAUCAGAUGGGGCACCCACCCAAUCAUAGGACAAGGCUGCAUAAGUUGAGGCUUCCGAGGUGGAGAAAGGCGGUUCUAUACUGAUACGGCUGAUUCUGAAUUAUCAGAUGUUACUUAGUAUAAUUGUUACUACCAACUGUGGCAUUAUAUCCAAUAAAAAAAAUUUCUUACAUAAAUGUCACAACAAAACUUUUAAUAUGGUUGAAGUGUUAAUCCAUCACCUAUUUUUAUCUAGGAGAAUGACCAUUUCAAAGAUACUUGGGUUAAAUUGUAAUGUAUAAAUACAUUUUUAUGUUUGGAAAACAAGGUUAUGAAUCAAGAAGUGUCCAUGGAUGCUUGCCAAAUGGCUAAUGAUAAAAGGUAUUGAGUAAUCUUUAAUAAGUUCACCAAAUUAUUUUGAAGAGGGAAACAAAAUAUUUUAGAAUAAUUCACUUAAAAUGUAAAUCUAGUUUCCACAGACAUUCAUGAAAUAAAAUUAUGAAAUUUUAACUUUUUUCCUAUCUUUGGUUUAUAACUAUCAUUAUAUGAAUGAAAAAUAAUAUCAUUUCAAAAAUUGAUUAACUAAAAUUAGCAUCUACUUGUCACAAAUCAAAAAAUUAUGGGUGAAGUUUUAAUUUAUCUAAACCUAUAAUAUUAUUUGUACAAGUUUAAGUAUAAAAAAUAAAACAUUGAAUAAAAUUGAUCAUAAUAACAUAAUACUUUAGUAUUAUAUAAGUGCAAAAUCUUUCAAAAACAUCCUAAUCUGGGUGAAGUCCAUGCAAAAGCUUUUUCUCUAGCACUAAUGAGAAUAGAAUGUAUAUUUGUCAACUGGUCUUGUUUAAGUGAACAUAGCAAAGUUAUAUUUGUCAACUUGUCUUGCAUAUGUAGUGUGACGGCAUUAGGUAUAGUGCUUGCUCUCAGAAGGUGUGGCCUAGCUGAGGUGAUAUCAUGAGUGAAGUAUUUCUCACAUCAAUCCAACCAUUAUCAUUCAAUAAACAUUUUAGUUUUAUUUAUAUUACUCCUUAAUUUGACCAAAAUAUUUUGAUCCAUGUAUCUGCUUCUUAGAAGUGUAAUUCAUUCUUAAAAUCGUCUCAUUAUUCAUGAAUGUAAACUAUAUUUUUAAGCUAAGAGUGCAUCAUGUGCUGUGCAAGCAUUUAUAGUGUAAACCAAUAUUUUGAUCAUCUUAAGUUUUCAAUUAGAAAUCAAUCCCAUGGUUUUUCCUUGGAACAGUAUGAGAAAUCCUAAACUAUAUAUGGUGGCAAUUCAGAAUUCUCAAUGUUUUUAAAUAAAACAUUAUGAUGUGUAGUCAAGUAAAUUGUACAACAAAAUUAUAAAAUAUUAGUACAUCUUAAAUCAUGCACACGAUGUCAAAGGAAAUGGAUAAAAGGACUUCAAUCAACAUGAAUCCAAGUUUACCUUUUACUUGUAUCUAAGCAUUAUUACAUGCCUGGUUUCUCCUUUAUUUGAUGAGAUUUAGAUAUUUGACCUAAAAUAGUCAAAUGAGCCAAAAAAAUUAACAAAAAUUUAAAGGAGCAAAAAGUAGGACUUUUAGUGCAAGGGUUGAUCCUUGUAAUUACCUAAAAACCAAAAAAAAUUAGAGUUGACUCGUAGAAAGUAGGGAUCUGUUGGAUUUCACAAGUGUCAUAUGGUUUUCUAGAUAGAGUUACAUCUUAUAGUCAAAUGGUCUGACCACCCAUGGGUAAUGGCUGACACAUACAUUAAGGGUUGACUCAUAAUUUGAAGGCCUAUUUAUGGUAUUACAAUCAACUACACGAGGGUAUAAACUAAAAAAGUUGAUGGUGUAUGAUCCCUAUAAUAUUUUUUUUGGCUAGGGAUGGAUACAAAUUCUCAAAUUUAAUCAUAGCUUGAAUGGAAACAAUGAUUGUUUAUGGAUGAAACAUAGUAGAUAGUGGUCAAGCCUUUUUCAACAUAUGGUUGAUCUUCUCGAUUUAUAAGACCACCUAAAAAAUGAAAUAAAAGGUAACACUUGAUGGAUUAAGAAGUGUUCUAGUUCUUUCUUCGAGUUUACGAGUUUUCAAAACAUUUGUACUCUCAUGCAAGGUUUUGGAUGUCUACAUUUUAUUGUAUAUUGAUGUGUUUGAUAGGCAUUCCAUUUAGCAAAAGCUUUUGUGAUAGAAUCUAGGAUUAGCACUAGAGAGAGAGAGAGAGAGAGAGAGAGAGAUUUGAGGGGUGGGUGAAUUUGCACUUUUGCAUGGAACAUUUGAAAAUUAAGCGAUUAUGAAAACAAAUUGAAUCAAAUAAUACCAGACCCAAGACUAUAACACAUUGUUUCUAACAAUAAAGUGAGGCCUAAUUCAAGAACACCCUGGAGGCCUUCAACAAAAUGCCCAGUACUAUACCUUGUGAAAGUAAACUUAUUAUUCUUAGCAAUUAUGUUUUUAUAAAGGAAAGCAUGGUUAAUAAAAUAAAAUCUUUUAUGAGGCAAGUCAACGAUUUCAUGUUUUAGAUAUUUAAUGGAAUUUAGAUCAUUGACCCUAUGUAGUAAAGUAAAUACCUCUAAGUCAUAAAUUUUGAUAAUAAAAUAUUUGAGGAAAUUUGGAAAAUUUUUGGGGUGGGGUGAAGAAUUCUUCUUCUUUGUCAAAAAAAUAAAUAAAUAAAACAUCUGAGGCCCACACAAAGUUUUAGCAGUAAUUUUCUAAAGUUGCUCUUUUUUAAAUUGCAUCAUCAUGCUGCUGUCACCGCCAGCAUUCAAUCUGACGAGGAGAUCCAGGAAUCCCAGCGACCCAGAAGAAGAUAAUCUCACAUCUCUUCUGGGCCGGUCCAUUUAUUCCUCGGAAAGUCUAAUUUUUGCCUCGAAAAUCGCCUGUUGACGAGUUCAUCGGGGGGGGAACGGUUCUAUAUCUGUUCUGAUACUCCUCUGAUUUUAAUCGUUAGGCGGAGGUGGGGGUUGGAGAUGUGGUGGGGGAAUGGAGGUCGGUUCUACUGGGGGAGGAGAGAAGCGAGUGCAGAAGGGAUUGUGGUUUUGUUCGCGUGGAUGUCAAGCGAAGAGAAGCCCGUUAGGUCGUAUGUGAAGCUUUACGGCUCCCUCGGUUGGAAUUCCCUCGUUUGCCACUCCGAUUUCCUCACACUGUAUAUUCCUGAAUCUCAUUGCUCCCUGUUCUUGAGGUCUUGCUCAAUCUCGCUCCUGUUUUCUUUCUCUGAUCUCCCUGUGGUCUGAUUUUUGGGAAAAUGCCCUUCCUCGUUUGCCAUGAGUUCUUCUGAAAUGCGCAACCCCUUCGUGAAAUAAUCUUGGCUUCAGUUGGAUGUCGGAAAAAAUAUCUAAAGUGAUCUGAAAGAAAGAAACAAUAGGGCCCAAUAUCACAAGCUUCUAAUUAAAGCAGCUCUUCGUUCAUAGAUUUCUUUUGUAAACAAAAUUACAGUUAUGAAUCAAUCACAGAACGGAUGCUUUUUAAUUAAAGAACGCUGAAGUUGUUUGAGAAGUACAAGGAGACUAUUUGAACCAACAAUAUUAGUUGAACAUUGGUCUGAUAUUCAAACAAGAAAGAAAAAAUUAGUUUACAAGGUGUUUAUCGCAUCUUCAACAUUCUUCUGCAUGAUUCUUAUCAGGGCUAUGUGACUUGCUCUCUGUAAAAGUUUCAGUUCCUUGUCAGCUGUCUGCCCUUUAUUGAUGCCGAUUCCUUUUUUCUCCGGAUUCGAUGGUGUUUUAAAAACAUGGGGGUGGCAAGGCCACACAGAUACCAUAAGUAUAUUGAAUUUAACCGAGUCUAUAUGCUAAGAUCAAUAUGGCGAUUCUUGCACUAGCCCCAGGACAUUAAUGGAAAGGCUUUAACAUCGUCACUAACCUCUUGCAGAAUUUUUGAGUUUGAAACGUACGAACUCAAGCAUUAUUUUAUAAAAUAAAAGCCCAAGUCGUGGCUAUAAAAGCUUUAAAUCAGUAAGCUGGGAUUAGUUUAAGAAUGUUAUCAGCUAACUCAAAGUAGUAUGGUCUCGCCGGGGUUCAAUUGGUUGUUGGUGCCUGGAUGGUUGGGUGAUUCCCAAGAUUUCCUUUUGCAUCUUUCAUCUUGAUCUCCCAAGUUAGCUCUACGGUUACCCAUCAGAGCAAGGGUGACUUUUUCUAAAUAUGAAGAGCUACGUGUGUCCAGAAUUGCAUCAAUGAGGCAACUCCAUUCUUUUCCGCAGAAAUCAAUAUUAUGGCCAUAUUCCAAAAAAUCCUUUGACUGUGUUAUGAAGUAGAAACUGCAUAUGUUUCCUUUGUCAGAAUGUCAGAUUGCAAAAUACACGUCUUUGCAAUCUAUCCCAUUUUAUUUCUUCAUUAGUCUGUGAGGCUCUGUGGCUGGCGUGCUCCUACUUGAUCCUUUCUCCUGUUUCCGGACAUCUUCAUGCCAUCUCUCACUCUUUCUUCUCCAUGGUCUUUCUAGCAGGCUCGCUUUCCUGCCCAGACCGACGGUUUAGUUUUCAGUGAUUUAUUGAAUUCUCUGUGAAGAUAAUUUUCUGGAUGUUCCAACCUGAUGGUUACCUGACAACAGUGAGCCUCAAGAUGGUAGGAAUCAUCUUGGGGACGAGCUAAAUUUUUUACUUAAAGGGUGAUCCUCAUGUGUAUGGGAGUGACGACCCAUUAAGGUUGAUACUCAUGUAUUGGUUCUGUAGUCCUCUUCGUGAUUUUUUGUUACAUGGCACAGCGUCUUUCCAUAUUCAAUGAUCACUCGCCUGAAACUUGAAGUUGUUUUUUAUAAAAGAAUGAGGCAGCUGUUCUAAUGCUAGGGUUAUCCUCCAUCGAAUCCUCUUGGGAAAACAGCUGAAGUUUGGACUCUAAGAUUUGUCCUUGAUUUUGUGAGGCACUCUGUUAUGGGUUCUUCUUUUCUAGGAACUUUGACCAUGUAGCUCUGCCUAGGUAGCUCUUCUAGGGUACUAAACUAGGAAUCUCUCAGUCCUUAGACUUGAAAGCAGCACAAGCGGACAUCUUCUGCGAACACUUCACUCCCCGAUAGUAACUUCAAAUCCAUGAAUCAAUUUGAGUGCUACCGUAGGGUUCUGUAAGUCACGACUCCAGCUUCUCAAUAAUGCAAACUCUGAAGCAUCUGUUCCACUUGAAAGAUUUCUUCAAGCCAGAAAUCUUUUGAUCUUGCUCUAACUUCAAAAUAGCAUGUGUAGGAAUUUUCACAGCAUUUUUAACUGGCAUACACUCUAGGUUGGGUUGUGCAUUUUUAGGCUCACCCUUCACCCUCUUGCCCUCCCUUUUAACUGAGUUCGUCUUCUCCUACAACUGGCACCGCACCUCAAACACUUCAGAGUGUCCCCAAGAUACGUUGGUUAUUCUCCUUGAAAUAUGAAUAGUGCAGACAAUGAAGACCUGAAGAGUUUUCUCGUUCGUCCUGAAUUUUGCAUCAGUAUACUCCAUAUUUCCAGCUUUACCCACCUACUGAUCCUCAUCCAUGAAAUCAAGCAUCUUAAUGCUGCCCUCUCUUCCCAUUUUCCAGUCCACAAGGGAAACAACUGUGUUUGUUACCAUGUCUGUGCAGAAGAGAAAAAACUGUGAUUUUUCUUUAAUGGUGAAUAGCCGAUACCAUCUUAUAUUUUUUUUUUCUUUAUUUAUGCGUCACAAGAAUCACUGCUUUUUUGUAGAGGAAUUUCUUCUUUUAACUUUGGGUUCGGUUUUAUGUAGAUUUUUCCCAGAAAAGGCCACAUCACUGGCACUUGGUGUUCUUCACGAGUUGGUUAAGGUAACCGUUAUUGUUUUAAUGCAAAUUUACUUCACAUUGCAGUAUACUCAGCCCAUUAUAUUAUGAGCAAUCCUAUGCCUAAGUUGCUGGAAAAAAAUUUCAUUAGGUCUAGUUUAUCAUUCCAUUAAGUUCCCGGUGACCAAUUUUCGUAGAUUCCAUCCAAACUAGUUGCAUAUAUCAUUUAAUAUUUCUGGCUUAUGACGUUCUAAUUGUGAUUACUGGGCAGUCAUGAAAAAUAAUUGAAUCAUUUCCAAUCACAGCUGCGAUUAUCAAUAAAUGAUAUCGGAAAUGAUGCCUAGCUUUGCAAACUAGGGACAGACCAUUCACGUGGGACAUGCCACGCAUCAUGAUAUGCACACGAUUUAUCAAUUUUAUAUGUUCUUCCAUUUCAUCUUAUGAUGGAUCUCUAUCACUGACAUCUUUUCGAUCCUUCUCUUUUUAAUGGAAAGAUACCCUUUCUUAUUCUGUGUUAACUCUAUGUACUGUAGGAAGUGAAGAACAGACAAUUGCCUAUUGUAUUUUCAGGUUUCUCAGGAGGCCCAAAGGCCUGUAUGUACAAGGUUUUCCAGGUAAAUUUCUAAAUCGGAAACCUGCAAUUUUUUAUUCGGUACUGUUUAAAAGUCCCAGUUAGAGUACCUUCUCUACGGUGAUGUCGUUUCAUUCAUUGCUUGAAGAUUUUCAUGGUGUUUUCCUUUUCUAGAUAAUUGAAGGACAGUGUGAAGGGCAACUUGAUUUGGUAAGCUAUCUUUUCACUGCUCCUGUUUCUAACAAAGAAGUUCAUUUCUAGUCUUUUAUAUUUAGCAGUUCUUAACAAGAAACAAGACUUUCCUGAUUAGAUAAUAGCUCCUGCGCUUAUGUAGAAAUUGAUGGGAGUUUAGAUCUUCUACCUAACCAAGAUACUCCAUUGGCGUUUCUGUCUUUUCUUGUAGCGACUGAUUUAUGUCAAAUGCGUAAUUACUUCUUCCUUGUGUUUCACUUUGCUGACUGAAAAGAUCAUCCAUCUUGGCCCCAUUAUAAAUAUCUUCCUUCAAGAGUAUGAUAAUUGCACACAAGAGGCACAUGCAAGAAUGCCACAUGAAGUACAAAGAAGCACCCCAGUUUUUCACAUAUGAGGGGAGAAUAAAAUAUUGACCUGCGCUUGUUUUUAGAAAUAAUUGGUGCCCUUCUCCAUAACGAGUAUUUGUGAGCAGAUGUGCUUGGAAAAUUUGUUGAACAAGAAUAUGCUCUUCAUUUAUGAAUUCAUUGUAUGCUUAUCACAGACUGCUGCUAAUGAUAUUAUCUGUUGACGAUUCACACUGUUACAAGAGUUUCCCAUUUCCAUUUCUUUCAUUAUUGCUUAAAAGGUUAAAUGCUACCUUUAGUCUCACUAAAGAAAUUUAUUAUUAUUAACUUCGUUUUUCUAGAAGGGUGAAUAUAAUGUUGUCAGGGACUGCGCAUGUGGACAAAUAUACGACUCAACCCCUGUUGAUUUCACCAGUGACUUGGGCACUCGUUUUGUUCUUCACCCAAGUAUCCUCAGAAUGUCUGAGCCACCACGAAUAGUUUCAUGGAUGGCAAAAAUGAUAGCUUCUGGCUUGGAUACUCUUUUCCUACGGAGAUUUGAAGAACAACGUGAUGAAUAUUGGCAAACGCUAUUUUCUUCUGCGGUGGGUUUCACAUUUUUAUUUUUCAGAUCAGUCUCUUCAUUCUUAUCAGUUUCAUUUUCUUAACCAUGUUUUGCUGCACUGUUGCAGAAAAUGGGACCAGUUCUUGUCAUGUGCUCAGAAGAUGAUGAACUUGCUCCCUUCUGUGUUAUUCAUAACUUUGUGGAAUGUCUGAAAGAGCAAGGUUCUGAUGUUAAGUUAAUUAAAUGGACAUCUUCUCCACACGUAGGUAGGCCUGAAAAUCUUUAAAGAUAUCUACAUGUUAGUACUAUUCUCGAAUUGGAGAUAAAUGUGUCUUGAAGUGAAAGUUUGCGUGCAUCAUCCUCUAAAUAAAAAAUUAAAAAAAUGCUAGAGUUCUUAAAAGUAGUAAAUCUUCGGAUACAUUCACAUGGGGCGCUAACAAGAGAAGGUUGCAUCCACAACAUAUUUCCUGGGGACGUUGAGUUAAAUAGGCUCCUUAGUGAUUUUGUUGACCAAGCUCAAAGAAAUUUUUUUCUUUAAUGAAAGAUUUCGAGUUAUUUCCUGUUAGAGGCAUGUUGAUUUUGUUAUGUGAGUUUUGUACUUCUUAAUUUUAAAAAGGAAGCUGUCAUGUUUUGUUUUUGUUUACAUUCUUUUAGAUAAGUCUUUUUUAUUAUUAGUAUCAGGCCUGGUAGUAAAUGCGGCUUUCUAAGUUGGCAGUGAUUCAAAUGCCCCCCAAGAUUAAAGUCAGUGAGCAUCGAUUAGAUCCCAGUUAUGAAUGGAUACUUCGUCAAUUAAUAGUCAUAUCAUGAUAUUAAAAAUUUAAUUGAUAAACGAUAAAAAUCAUUACAUUGAAAAAUGACCCUACAAAGAUUUUUUUUUUUUCUGGGGGUGGACUAUGAGGUGAAGCUCGCUUGACAAGUAAUUGGGAUGAGCUUCAUUUGAGGGCUCUUCGCUGGACGUCAUUUUCCAAGUUUAUAUGGCAUCUAAAAAUUUGUCAUUUUAUGAGUUGAGGGCUAUUUUACUCUGCUCAUGAUAUAUGACCCGUUUAGAUACGUUUGUGGGCCGAGACUCAGUUUUCAACUUUAUGCGAUGAAGAUCAUUCUGGUCUCUGUAGCCUUUGACAUAAUGCCCGUAUAAACUUUGUUAUUAUAAUUUAUAUUAGAUUAGAGCGUUAAGCUCCAAGAUCACACUGAAUUCUAGCUACUUCUAGGCCAAUGCUUGGUCAUCAUAAUCGAUUAUAAUCAUUGGGCUUUUAGCUUACAUAAGGUUCUCUUGGAUCUUUUCACCUCUGCAUUGCAAGGACUCAAACUUUUUGCCCAUAUGUUUGUUUUAAUAUAUCUCUUUUUUGCCACUAGGCUUCUACAGAUCUUCAUGGAAUCUUUUUUGGUUUAUCUGAUUUUAGGCCCAUAAAAGUUCUUUUUUUACCAUUGAGUUGCAAGCCGACAGAUGCUCUUAUUAGAUUAUGACCAAUGGACCAGAACAAUUUGAUUGGGUUAUGAGCAUUUGACUCUUGGCCCACAAAAGAUCUUAAUUAAUCUUUCUUUGACAGCCAAACUUCACGCAGACAAGGUUUAACAUUUUUUUGUUUUAAAAUACUCCUGAGAUCUUCAAAAUGACCCAGCCAGGCCUUCUUACAUCAGGCCGUCCUGGGCUUUCUAGAAUGGGAUAAACCUGAGCUUGGAUCAGACUCUUUUGUGGCAAUUAUUUGGCUUUCUCCACAGAAUUCUGAUGGGAAUGGAGCUGGUGGCCAUGUGGGCCCUCUUUCUCCCUUCUCUUUCCUUUCUUUGGUUCUGCCUCUUCCUUCCCCAUAAUAUGCUACUGUCUCAAGUCAGACUAUCAAUAGCUCUUCUGAUGUCUACGGAAGCCUACUGGUUUCCUACAGAUCGUUUUCUGCCUUAAAUAGUAAUGAUUCUGACAUGAUAAGCCAUUAUCAUUACUAAACACAGCUCACAUGUGCUUUCAAAAAUUAGCCAUCCCUGUCCUUUUUAUCCAUGUUUCUUAUACCAGCAUUCAUCAUUUUCUUUCACAUAUGAAGAUAUUAUGUCAUAUACUCAAGUAUGGUCUACUUGCCUUCCUAAUCAACACCCUGCAGGCCAUUACAAGCAUCACCCUGCUGACUACCGAGCUGCUGUUUCUCAGUUGCUUAGUCAGGCAGCUAUAUGCUAUUCUCAACGAAUGCAACAACUCAGUGGCAGUUCUUCAGGCAUUGGAGAUUCUGAUGACCGCCCUCACAAGGCCUUGGCAAGUAAUGCAGGGCGUUUAAAGGGCUCUAUUAGUUGUCACUCGCCAUGUUCGGUGGAGCUUGAGACAGAAGAUGUGGGUGCAGGGGAGGAUGAGAAGAAGGGAGAUUUUCUUCAUAUGGAAAGUCCAGAAGCCAUUGCUCAGAUCCUUUCUGACAUCUGCAACCCAAAAACCAUUGAAAGAUGGGACAUAAUGCACAGUGAGCCCCUCCGCAGGAGGCAGGCCUUGUCUUCUGCCAAGAGCCACGGUCCCUUGAAUAAUUUCAGAGGCAUGCAACGUUCAAAAUUGUAGCUGGAUGCUGUCUUCAGAGUGUCAAUACAAGGGAAAUUUCAGGUGGGUUAUGGAAAGCAAGAAGAUUAUCCAGUUAUAGAAAAAUCCAACAGACUAAGUGUUAUUCAUUGGUGCGGUUGUGCCCCCCCGACAAAAGAAAUUCAUUGGUCAAGAAGUUGGUUUUUAUAGUCUUGGCUUUUCUGGUGUUGAUAAAUUGUGUACAAAAGGAUGAUCAUCAUAAAUUAGCAUAAGAUUACUGCUUGAGAUUUUUGUAUAUACUGAACCUUAUAAAUGUUCCAAAAAAAUAGGCACUGAACAUAUUAAUUGUCUCUUUUCUUAUUUCAGAAAAAAGGGAGUUGACUUUGUCUUUUUAUGGAGCACAAGAAAGUGGUAGAAUAUUUGUUCUCACAAAAUACAAAAAUAGUUUAUAAUAUGGCCCUUUUUCAAAUGUUUUGAGCUCCCAGAGGCAGAAAAUCAAGAGAUAUAAUGAUAUUAACUUGUGUAAUUAUCUUCCAAUUUUGAAGGAAGAUUUUUACAUGGCUUGCAAGUGUUUAACUGAAAAACUAUUGGCAUAUUAAAUACAUCAAGCUUACACACUUCGAUGCUUGUUGUCCAUGCUAAGUAAACUCCAAAACUAUACUAUCUAUAAAUCUCAUAAAAGAUUAUCACUAAUAGGUCAUUGGUUUACUCAAUUAGUUUUCUAGAGCAAUGAAUUUAGGAAUGAUAAGCUUACAGUAGAAGGCUAAUAUGUUAAGCUGUAGAGUCAUGAAUCUAGAAGAAAUUGAAAGAUCUAAGGAUGAAGAAUGCACAUUAAAGGGGGGAUGAAAAUACUUUAUUGUGUUUUCUAUCAGAUUUUGAUUUCUAUUUCAAUGGAAUGUAGUAUUCAAGGUUAAAUAUAGUAAUUCUAUUAAAUGGGGAGUAUGAUGUCUACUUUGUCCAAUGUUUAAUGGUGAAACACAAUUAGAAUGAAUACAAUUCACCAGAUAGUGUGUAGACUACCAUGCUGUGGUAUGGAAUAUCAUAUAAAAAGUAUUAUAUUAAGACUUUUUUAGCAGAUUAAUUUCCUGUUACAUAAUAGUGAAAUAUAUCAAGUUUUAUAUAUUUCUGUACAGAAUUAUAUGGUGGAAUAGUAUGCGACAUCAAGCAUAAUACUUCAAUAUAUCAUAAGCUAUAUUGUUGAAUAUUUCAGUACAUCAAACAUUGAUGUUUAUUAGAUAAAAAAUGGCUUACUAGAUAAUGAAAUGUAUCAAGCUGAAUGUUUCAAUUAAUAUAAGUUAUGUUAUGGAACAUGUAUCAGACUUUGAAGAAAUAUAUAAAUAACUAUACAUCUUAAGCAUAAUCUUUUGGUACACAUGGGUUAUAUUAGUGGAAAAUAUAAUAGUCUUAAGAUAUCAUAGAAUAUAUUUAACGAUAUAAUGUACUUGCUAUACUAAAUUUUUAUUAGUUGUUCCUGAGUUCAGUACAUGUAUUUCUCGACAUGUACUGAACUACUAUGUUCUAUGAUAUGAGUUAGUUUAUAAAACCAUAUAUCAUUAAAUUAUGUAGGAUGUAAAUUUCAAAACAUAACUGUCAAAUCCAAGAGCAGUGCAGUGAUAAGUCAAAAUAUAAACCAAGAGACCUUAAUAUAAAGAAUCUAUAUUAAGGACUGUAAGUUUGAAGUCUUGGAGCAACAUAUUGGGAACAUAUUAUAUCAAAUUUGCAUAUUAGUAUUUCACAAUGACCUUUCAUAAUACAUUUCUCAAAUCUAUAGCACAAGAAAAAAGUUUUUUUUUGACAAGAUUGAAUCAUAAUGAUCUAGAUACAUUGCAAGUAUGUAGGGUUAACAUGGUAGUAUAUGAUUGCAUCUUUGAAUCAUGCUAUAGUUAGAUCAGCACCAUACCAUGUUGGUACAAUAUUCCCACAUUAGUUCAAAGCUCAUAAAUAAAUCCCUUCAUUGAAUUAAUAGAGAAAAUUUGAUCAAUGUUGAUUGAGUGUUGAAGAAUUAGUGAACUAAAAAUAGCAUUUUUUAAAAAUGUAAUAUAAUUAAAAAAUUCAAAGAAGGUACCCAAAAAGAAAUCAUACAAAACUCAUUUGAUAAGUUCAAGAUAUCUCCUGAAAAAUUUUACAACUUAGCAACAUAAAAUUUGCAUGUCUGAGUUGAAUUCUAUCAACAGUAUUUUAAGAUGUUUGAGUAGUGAAAGAGUUUCUCAUCCCAAGCUAGUUGCACAUCACAAUGCAAAUAUUCUUUUUAGCCAAUGGUUGCAAGGUUUAAUUUAGUCUCCAUUGAUACUAGAUUUACCAUAGUCAGCAAAAAACAGUGGUUAUGGGUGUUAGGGCAUUUCUAGAAGCCAUGAACAUAAAAUGGUGAGCUUGCAUUGGGUCUUUAGUAAUGGUAAACUUAGCAAUGAAUGCUCAGAUUAUUAUGAUCUAUUGGAGUCCAUAAUCCAAUUGAGGUUAGCUGAUGCCUAGUAUUUAUCUACAUCUACUACUGGUAGGCAGUGGAACCAAGGCAUUAAAUUUUUUUAAAGGCUCUCUCAUUUGAUUCCCUUAGUCAUUCAUUAAUAGGAGUUGGCUCACUUGAACUUCGAAUGCCCAUAAUUUAUUUAUUUUGCAUUAUAUUCCUUUUCACCUUAUCCUCUUGAGAAAAACGAUGAGCCCACCAAGACUCAAGAGAACAGCUAAUCUGAAAAUUAUAAAAAUAAAUAAUGAAUGAAUUUACCCUUUUUGAUGGUAAUAUGAUCAGAAACAUUUUUUAAUGGCCUUUUUCGAACAAUAAAUGGAGGAGAUUUUGUGACAAAAAAAAAAAUCUUGUGUCUAUCGCUGUCGAAUUCAGCCCCUCCUUCCCGUGCCCCGUUGUAUCUCCACAGACGGUGCAGCCGUUUGCAUUGUAGAGGUCCGCCAUGGCGGUUGCGAAUCUGAGUACACUGCCCUUUCCGGCAAAGAUCUCUGCUUUCUGUCCACAGCGUCGCCACCGUCUUCUUGGGUCUUCACCCUGCACCUCGAAACGCCGCCGCCGGGUGGCGACGGUGGUAGCGGCGGCGUCGGCCGACGCCUCCAAGCCGGGCCCGUCCUUCGACUGGUUUCGCCUGUCGGACGUGGGUCUCGGGGUCUGGCCACAGCGGGAGGCAGAGGGGAGGAGGAGCGAAGGGGUGAAGGCAAAUGCCGUGGAAGAUGGCGACGGGAGCAGGGGGAACAAGAAGAAGAAGAAGAAGUGGUGGUGGUGGUCCGGGGACAGGGAGAGCUACCUAGUAGACGACGCAGACGCCCUCCCUCUUCCUAUGACCUACCCCAACUCCUCCCCGGUCUCUCCUGAGGAGGUCGAUCGCCGCCUGGAGUGUGAUCCCCAGAUCGAGGUCGGUUUUGCUCUCUCUCUCUCUCUCUCUCACUUUCAAUCUUGGAGAGGAAUCCGAAGCUCACAUUGGAAUGAGAGGCGGGCUUCAAAGGAUUGAGGAGUUUAUGUUCUAGGAACUCCAUUUCAGAGGCUUGCAAUUGUUCGAGUGCUAUAUCAGAACCCAUGGCUUCUUCAUAGCAUUUCUAAUCUCAUUCAAGGUCUCGGAUGUCCACUUUUUAUUGCCUAUUGGAGGGUCAGAUAACCGUGUUAUCUAGCAAGAUUUUUUUAUUUUUUAUGUAAGAAUUUAUAAUUAGCACCUUAGAAAGAGAGAGUAGAGGUGUGUGAAUUAGCAAGUCUGCAUAGCACAUUCGAUCAAAUCAGGCGCUUAUGGAAAAAACUAAUAAAAAAUUUAUAAAAUCAAUACUAACCCUUCUCUCCCCAACCCCCUUCUAUCUCUCUCUAGUUCUCAAUCCCAGAAUUCUCUACUCACUGGGCUGUUGAUUUCGCCAUAACAGGACUGCAGGGCGGUGGUGUAUGAGUGGACGGGGAAGUGCAGGAGCUGCCAGGGGACUGGCUUCGUCAGCUAUUACAACAAGAGAGGUCAUGAGACGAUAUGCAAGUGCGUCCCCUGUCUCGGAAUUGGUAAGCAUUCCAGCUCCAUUUCAUUCUCUUCUUUCCGUCGAUUGCCUCCGUGCUCUCCUGGGGAGUGCAGCCUUAUUCUUUGUUCAUCGUAGAGAGGCCGAGGGAAAAAUCGAACUUUUUUUUAGCCCAGUAAUGGCAAGAACACAUGGCCCACAUGAGCUAUGGUUGAAAUUUGAGACCCUCAUGGUAGGGUGCCCAUGUUUCUGUCGUGGUCAAAGAAUCAUUUCAUUAUUUUCUUUCCAUUGAUUGCCUCCGUUGUGAGUAGAUUGAUCUAUGUCUCAUGUUCCCUAUGGGAGCAAGGCUCAGCUAUCUGCUCAUCCGAGAGGGACCGAUGGAGAAAUCAAGCUUUUUUUAGCCCGGCAAUGGCAAGAGCACAUGACCCACAUGAGCUGUGGAUCAUAAUUUGAGACCCUCAUGGCAGGGUGCCCAUGUUUGUGUUGUGUUCAAAGAACCAGCAAUGCAUAUCGCCUCUGGGCAUUACUGCAGCUCCUUCUGUGAGGACAUUGAGGGAUCCAUGAAGGUGAAGCAGAGUUAUUUGAUGUAGUAAAGGGAAAGAGCCUUCCAGACUGCCAUUGGUCAGAUGGCAUGUCAUAGAUCCUCAUACCGAUCCUUUUUUUGGUCAGAAUCCAUCAUCUAAGAUGUAAUGAUUCCAGUUUUCAUAUUGCUGGAAAAAUUUUCUCUACCCACUUUCAGAUAUUUCGUCUUUAGCUCCAUCUUCACUUUUUUGGGCAUUGAUGAAUGGGUGUGACCAAAUCGUACAACCUUCACUCUGGGGCAUUUUUUUUAAUCAACUGUAUAAAAGUCGUUAUAUCUAAUCUUUUUGCGCUUCGUAGGAUUUUCCUAUCCUUGUUAGAGGAGAAGCCUUGGUGUGUAUCAAAAACUGCAAUGAUAACGGGAUUGCAAAAAUCAGCAACUCAUCAUUGCAAAAAUCACAUACCUUCUAGGAAAUUCUCUGAACCGAGUUCAAGUAUGAUGAUCCGCUUGGAUUAUGUUAUAGUAUGAUUUGAAGUAUCAUCUUGUUCUCGGAGCACCCUAGGAUCACUUUUUUAUAUUUUUUGAUUGAUUUUGGAUUUUUUAACUUCUGUUUCUAAUUUACAUUUCGCUGAAGGAAACUAACUCCUUCUUGUCCUCUCAGAGGAGGAGAAAGAGCCUGGUUCAUGGAUCCUAAUCUAUUAUUCUCCAUGCAACCUAAGGAACAGAAAAACCUUGUGUUCAAAUUGUUAAUCUAACAUGCAAAAUGGAUAAAGUCAAACUGUAGCUUCUGCACGAUUAUGGAAUCACUAAAUAGAAGUUUGCCAUUGUAGGUCAUGUUGAUCAUUUUUAUACCCUUUCCCAACAGAGAAAGGUAAGGGAGAAGAUAAGCCUCAUAAUAAGCCCUUGAAGGCUGUGAAAUAAGGUAGAGUCAGCCAUUGAAAAGUGUCUCUCUCUUGCGCAGUUUGUAUAGUUUCUGGAUGAGCUAUGCAAUACAUUGUUCCGAACGAGACAUUUUAUUUCUAAUGGAGUUCGACCUUAAAAUGGUUUAUCCUUAUACAAAACUUUUCUUGCAGUCGGAUUUCAAGACUGAAAGAUUUUAUGGUGCGUAUUGUGGUCCUCAGAUGUUGUGCUUCAUUUUCAAUCUUUUCCAUAAGAAGAUAAUAAUUAAAUGCUUUGCAUAUAGAAUUGAAAUCAUGAAGUAAUUGAUUAAGCUUUUUUAUGGGACUACGCCAUUAGAUACUUUAUUUAAUGGAGAUAACCUGGCAUAUCAGGCUUACGUCUGAUGAUCUGGGCAUAUGCUGUUCAAUGCCUUGUUGAUUAGAUUUUUCCGUUUAUUAGAUUUUUCCUGUAUCCUUGACAUUUCCUUUUUUGCGAAUUGCCUUCUUUAAAGGGCCAACUUCGUAUUUGUCUUCCGAAUUUUCCUUCUAGCUAAUUGAGACUUCUUUAUGGAAUCAACUGGCAAAUGUAUUUGGAAUUUUAUUGGAAGUCAGACUUUUUCUUUAUCUUCGUGCGUCAGUUUAUCUUUCUCCAUUGCUUGCACUCACCACUGCUAUUUUGUUUGUAUACUUUCUGGAAAACUUUUAUCCAGGAAGUUCAUUUUUUACUCAAUAUAUACCAUAUUUUAUGAGCAUUUUUGAAACCCAACUAUGCGCAACAUUUUACUGAGCAAAACAUGUACACAAGAACAUAAAUUCAAAAUGUCAUAAUAAAUUGGAACGUAGCUUUUGAUUUGAUUGAAAUUCUCAAAGUAAGUUGGUGAAGCGGGAAGAAAAAUGAUGUUGACCUCUAGAUUGGAGAGGGCAAGAAAAUAAGUUUGCAAUUGUGAUAUGCAUGAAUAGUAUACAUGGUUUCAAAAUUUUCAUGCUCUUGAAAUGUUUCAAAAUUUUAAUGGUGGUACGCCAUAAAACAAGACCCAAAAAUUUAGUGUGUCCUCAUCCCCAUUCUUAAUGUAGCUGGCAAAAGAAUAUACCUGCACUAUGCUUACAAUGAACUCCAAAGUAGAUGGAUUCUCAGCUUUAUUUUACAUUUACUCAUCUGGUUGUAUUUUCGUGUUUUGAUUCUUUAAUGCAAUGUAAUUUCUGUCAAAAAUAGUGGGACCAGCAGCCAAUGUAGUUCUAUUUAGAAUGUAGAGCUCCAACAAAGUUUCAGCUAACUAUGAGCUUUUGGUAACAGAACUUAACUUAUCCACUUCAUGUGUUCCUUCAUGAGAGUGUCUGAAGGCUAUCUGAAUGGCACAGGCCAUGAAGUGUCAUCCUAAAGUCAUGCCAUAUAUGUUAAAAUUCUAAAAAGGACUAGUGAAGAUUUAUAGUGUUUGGGUUCCUUGUUGUGCAGAUAUGCUUCAUUAUUAUAUCUAUCAUAAUAAUGAGAUAAUUGUGUUUCCAGAAGCAUUGUUACUAUUGAAAGCAAUAUGUUCUGAGUACACAAUCAUUUUCCAGCGAAUGUGAUUGGGUUAAGAGCUAUAUUUAAUUCAUGGGGGAAUCUGCAUGAUCUCUUUUUGUGUUCUAUCAUACCUCUACUUUCAUAUUUCGGCAGUCAUUGACCUUUAAUGCAAUGACAAUACGAAAAUUCCUUAAUGUCUGGGUCCUGGGUUUCAGAAUUCUGUUACUGACUUGUAUUUAAAAAGUGGAAUUGCCCCAGUAUAUACAUCUUGACAGAAGGCCAGUGUCAAUAUCUCAUGGGAACUAGAAGCUACUUAGGACUUGAAAGACAAGUAUAGUCUGAACCAAUCUUCAUUCAUUUAAAAUAACUUGUUAAAAAAUAAGUAAUUUUAUUUUUGGCUAUUUUACAUCAUUCAAAGUCUUUCCGCAGAUGUUUUUCUGGUGGUCAUCCGACAGAUUUCGGUUGCAUCAUCUGAUUCAUGAAUCUCAUGCACUUAUUUUGGACAUGUAGUUCAGAGCCGUAUGUUAAAUAUGUCAGUCAACAGAUUGGUUAAAUAGUGCAUUAGAACAGAAGGCAGCUGAAUCAAAGCAAACCAACAAGCUGCAAAAUUGAAGUACCAUUAAACAAAAGAACAAGAGCAUAAGCUGCUUUCCAGUCUAAAACAUUAGAGGAAACUUUUGUAGAAGAAACAUGCAGAUGCCUGAUCUCUUCAACAAUUAACUGGGGACUGUUAUGAAAGAGGUGCCGCAAUGGCCCUGACAGUGCCCUCAGAAAUAAUAAUUCCGUUACUCUGAAGAAACCAUGCUACCAUUGGUCAUGCCCUUGAGCCUAUGGGCCAGAUUAUCACAGCAAAGCUCUCUAUCUUCUUCAUGUACAUCUUAAGAAACUAAUUGAGAAAGUAGACAUUGUUAAUCUCAAUGUAUAUGUGGUGUUGGAUGCUGAUGGCGGAUACGCUUAAUCAUGGUUUGAAAGUGGCUUUUAAGCAGGAAAAUGGACAGGGAGGCAACAUCAAAUCAAUAUUGUUAGGUUAACAUCCAAUUUCUUAGAAGAAUGAUGUGCCAAGCAUUUUCUUAAUGAAGUGUCUGCAUUCAAAACUUGAAAAUCUAUGAAAGUGGCUGAUCUAUUGUCUGCUAGCAACAGAUGAAUGAUGGCGACAGAUUGAUGCCUUCCUCUGACUGUGUCUCAGAUUAGAAUGAGUAUCACUAGGGUGGUGGUUCAGGGCUGAUGCUGUUUGAUUAUGGCUGAGCAGCAGGCCGAUUCUUAAGCAUGUUUAAGUGAUGGAUGAGCAAGCUGGUUCCGAUACAGAGGCUUGUACAUGGAAGCCUGUCAGGAAUGGAAAAAAACUAGGUACAAGAACAGAUCAAAGUGGUCUUAUAGAACACAUUUUCUAAAAGUAUCAAGUGAUAGUGAUACAUAACUGGCGCACAUAGAUGAGUUGGUGAGAUUGAUCACCAGCAUGAUCCUAACAUUUCGUUGCCAUUACUGAUUUUAUUAAUGAAGCCUGCUGUUGAGUAUAUGUCCUAAUCAUGUAGAAAGAAGUUGUUUUAUAAAACAUCAUUAAGUUUGUUUCUCUUUGAUUCCUGAGAGAUAUGUUAUAUGGAUGGUUAUUGCAUAUUAGGUAUGACGGUGGGUACAUGUAAACUAGGUUGUAUUUCCCAAGUUUAUUGCACGUGAAAACUAGGCUAAUUGUUUAGCAUAUUUCAGGCAUCCAAAUUUGUUCCUAAGCAAAAGGUUUGAAGCUUACUGCAAUUGUGUAAAAACUUUGCAAAACUGUUCUUCAAUUGUUGAGUAUUCCAUCUGUUUAUAAAAUCAUCUAUAUGAAAUGAUAUUUGAACUUGCUAUAUUUUUAAUUUUCUGUUAACUAGAUUCAACUGUUUGCAUUAGAGAUUCUUCUAUUGUUGUCAAUUUACUAGAGCUUUUACAGAGAAAAACCUACCUCUGAUCACAAGACUGUUUUUGUCAAAGCUAUUCUGUUAUUUUCAUUUAAGCUUACCAAUUUUUCCAUUGAUCUCUCAGGUUAUGUUCAGAAAAUAACGACCCGGACGGACAUUGAUGUGAUGGAGAAUUUAGAUAAUGGAAAGCCUCCUUGACCGAUAACUUUUUUGAGAUCUUUACAGAUUUUACUUUGGAAUUUUGGGGGUCUCUUUUCCCCCUUAAUUGAUUCCGUUGUUACCCUCCACUGUUCUUGAUCUACAAGACUGAGAGAGCUUAGGACUGAUCAACUCGGCCUUCCCAUGAUACGAUUCCUGGCCAUUCCACCAAUAUAUACUUCAAUGUAUAUGAAAAUAUAAUGAAGCAAAAUUCACUUUUGGGUCGUCCAUUCAUAUGGUCUCUGUUUACUUUUCCUUUGUCAAGUUCUGUAACCAGUUUGGAUAUAAAGUUCUCUGAAGAGAAAAGAAGCAGAUUAUUAUUUUGAUUCAGGAUCUAAUGAAUCAGUUUUUGAGAAAGAAAGCUUGAAUAGGAACAGUUGGAUCUCAGCCUUUAUCAGUGGCAUCACAGCGGUCCUAUUUUUGUUGCUGUUUCUCUGUAAUCUCUCUGACUCGCAUAGGGUCACUAACACUUCUGCGUGAGGGAUGGUCUUUCUCAAGUUCAUAUUUGACGUAGAUAUUAGUUCAAAAUUCCGACAUAUUUAAAAACUGUCUCAUCCUCAUUGAAAUCUUAUGAUCGUUUUGACUAUUUAUGGGUCUUAAAAACUAUCAGAGUUUUUUGACUGAAUCAAUUCAGCUUUCUUCUGCUUAAGAUACUGUUUUUCCAAGACUUUGUUGUUGAAUUUAUCUGAGAUUUUCAAGCAAAAUAUAAAGGUUAUUCUUGACUGAAUGAUAAUCAGGAUUGUCAUUUUUUUAUCGUGCUGUCUUCAGAUGGUUUAUUUGAAACCAUAUUCAUGUGUAAUUAAGUUUGGUGAAAAUGCACAUAAUGGUUAACAUAUUUUGCAAAUUGACUUUCAUGCUAGAUGAAGUUGAUGUACUAACUCAUAUCAUAAAACCACAUUAUCAUAAAUGAACAGGAAGAACUGGAAGGUGUUUCAUAAUAUUAAAUAAGAGUAUAAAUGAGGGCUUACUUUCUGGGUCGCCUCAUCAGCAAUCAAACAUGAUUCUUUCUUCUCCCCACAAUCUAGAGGGCCAUGGUAAUUCCAUCUUUGCCAUGGCCUGUCCAUCAGAUCAAAAUAUCAAAGCAUUUAGGUUCCAUAGGAAAUCAAACAGAUGAUGCAUAAAUGCUCAUAAUAGCCUCCAUACCUCAUGAAUGUCAUACAUGAGUAAACACUAAAUCAUCAGUUGACUCUAAGGAGAUUGUCAAAGUCUGACUAGCUUGCUGUGCCUUUAUUAUUAUAUGACAAGGAUUAUUUAAUGGAGUAUUUGCCUCUUGUCUCACAUUUGACUAGUUACAUAGUUUGUAGCUUGGUAUAGAAGGUUCUUCUUAUGCUCAUGUUUACUCCUCUCCUCUCAUUAAUCCAAGACUAGUAGCCUCUUCAACAAUUUCAUUCUUGUGCCAUCAUCAAAGGUGACUGACUUUUUUAAUAGAAUUGAUGUAUCCCAGAUGAUAGAAGAAAAUUUUGAUUUAAUUUUGCUCAACACUUUUAUUUUAGGAAAAAAAUAAUUUUUAGAUUGAUUUCCUAGCAAUUUGAGAGUAGUGGAGUUACUUUAGUUUGCUAUGAAUCUUUUCAAGGAAUCUAUUAUUAAUCAAGUUGGAGAAGGAUUCGGUUUCUUCUCUUACUAAAGAGACGGGAUAAUGGUGGAAAUAGACUUUUGCCAAUCUACUUUUAAGGUGAUUUGGUUCUAGGAUGCCAAGUUGAACAGUCAAAGAUACAAUCAAGAGUGGGGUGAAUUUACAUGAACAAUGCUGGAAAAUAAUAAAGUUAUGCACAAAGAUGAUAAUAAUUUUUUAGUCUUAUGUCCUCUUACAAAAUAUAAUCGAUAUAAUAAAAAUAUAAUUUUAAUAAAAGUUUUACCUAAUCCAUAGAAGCAAUGCCCUUGAGUUACAUUCUCUCAUAUUGUACAAUAGUUGAAGCAUAAUAUGCUUAAAUUGCCUCUCGAAGACUAAAAGGCUCUAAACAAGUUGUGUAUUAAGUACUUAUUUCUAGAUUCAUGACUCUAAAAGACUGAAACCAUAAAGUUUCACUUACCUCAUUUAUAUUCAUGAGUUAAAAGUGCCAAAUACUAUUAGCACCCAAGUGGGGUACUUAUAGACUUAGGAUUAUAAGGGGCCAGAUGCUAGGAUUUUAUUGGGAACUCACCAUUUUUUGUUGACAACAUUAUAAUAUAUUGACUACUCAUAAAAGACCAAAACCAAGAAGUCUCACUUACCUCUUUUAUAUUCAUGAUUUAAAAGUGCCAAAUAAUAUUAGCACCCAAGUGGGGUACUUAAUAGACUAAGGAUUAUUAGGGGCCAAACGCUAGAAUUUUACUUAGAACUCAUCCUUUUAUGCCAACAACAUUAUAAUAUAUUGAGUACUCAUAGGUAGUGACAAGUGGUGAUAGUUUCCUCCCACUGAGAAUCCAUACAAGAUACAAAGACGAAAUUUUUUACUCUUAAAAUACCUACAACUUUAAUAGAGGAACUUCUAUGUAGUGAGGAUAAUGUAUGCCCUGAAUUAGAAGGUCAAUAUAUUACAUCAACAUUAUUGAGUUUUUUGAAGAAGAUCAAAAAUGAAUUUCCCUCUUUAGGAUUUAUAAAGGUUCAUAGAUAACACUAAUGAUAGUUUGAAAUAAUAGCAGAAUUAACAAUAUAAUAGGAAAUGGCUUUCUUUUGGGGCAUUUCAAAGCACAUGGUUUGUACGGGAAUUUCCCUAACCCACUCCUACUUCCUCACACAUUCACUUCAUGGAGGGGUAAAUAUUUUGUUGGAAACUUGGACAAGAUCCAUUUACCCAAUGAUAUUGGCGGCAAAGAAAGCAUUAAAGUCAGACAUUUAAUAGGAAUUAAACAAUUUUAUGGCAUGCCCCAAAUUUAGGAACAUAAAUAAAUAAAUUUGUGGGACAACUAGACAAUGAUGGUAGGGUGACAACCUUCCUUAAUUGUCAAAGGAACCUUCCAAGGGCUUAUGGUGAUACCAUGAGUGAAGAAUGUAAGAGGAAGAUCUUAGUUGUGACAAUACAACUUUUGCUGCCAUCAAAGUCAAUGGAAUGGCCCUUGGACUAUCAACUUGGGGAUAUGAUUGCAAAGACAAUGAAAGUGUUGACCUCUUAAGGGCAUGAUAUCAAGGGUUGAAUCACAAUAUCUCAGUCUAUGUAAAAAUUCUAACAUUAUUACAAAACAGGUCUAUUUUUUGCAUAAGAGAAGAGAACCCAAGAUGUCUCAGUUGAAGUUGGUACAUAUAAAUGUGUGGCAACCACCUUCAUCAAUGACAGUACCCAGAAGGUACAUGAUUAUUUUCUACGAAAAAUAAAUUAAAUGUCCCAACAACGUUAGAAAUGUGGAAACAUCAAAUUGAAAAAUGAAAUCAGUAUGAAAGGGAAGUGUUUGAAGUCAACAUAAGUCAAUAUGAUGCCAAAGUGAUUAAAUGUAAGAGGAAAACCAUAUAAGAUGAUGCCAAAAAAAAAUGGCAUCAAUGAAUUCAUGGAUAAAACAUUGAAUGAAUGUGCUUAUUUAUUCCACUAAACCAUUGAAUGAAGGUUGACCAUUCAUGUCUUGGGGGCUUUGACUAGGAACAAGAUGGAUCAUAUGCUAAGGGAAAGCUCUUGCUUUAUUAUCUGGGUUCGGCCAUUGUUUCUGCCAUCUGUGCAAGAACUGGGUUGUGUUGGAAAAAUAGGACGGAGAGAUCUUGGAAGGAGGCGCCCAUAGAAAUCUGGGCAGAUUACAGUGAAAAUUUUCUGCUCCAAGAAGCUAAUAUAUACAGUACGAAUGUAAUUUUUAAACUUUUUCGUGUUUAAUAUAGAAAUUGUUCUUCCGAUGGCACCGAAUAAGAUAAAAAAUCGCAGUCUUUAAUGCGGAGAAGAACUGGGGCGCGGGCUUUUUGAUGGGUUAUAUAUGCCGGUGGAUUCGCCGCGCGCUGCCGUUGUUGUGAGAUUGUCAGGGAAGUACGAGACGAACUGAGGACCCCGUCGAGGACGGCGGUGUGGGGAAGACGAGCGAGCGACCCCAUUGGCCGUCCGGGGCGCGGUGAUUCCAAAGGCGUCAUUUUUCGACGGCUGGCGGUGGCGUUUGCUCAGCCCAGUUCUGGUACUGCGCAAUCCUCUCUCUCUCUCUCUCUCUCUCGACCUCCGCUCGAGUACGCACGGAAACCAUCUAUAAAUGGCUGAGAUCCGUCUUCCUUCGGGGUCUUUCCUCGCUUAAUGCCCCUUCCCACGCCUUCUCUUUCUCUCGCUGCCUCUCCCCUUUCGGCUCUCUCUCUGUCGGUUGAUUGAUCCUCUCUGGAGGCUUCACAGUUGGCUCAGAACCUGCAUCUGGGAGUCUCUUCCGUCGUCCUUCCUCGGGAUUCGCAGGAUCAGUUGCAUUUCCUUGUAGUCGAUUUCUCCAGGCCGGUGACCAGAUGAAGUCAAAUGUGAGUAGGUUUUGCUGAUAAUACGCCUCCAGCCGCACCAAAAAACUUUUACGUAGCUUGAGACCUUGCAGUCGAGACCAGGCCCAAUUCAAUGCACAGCGGGGAGGCGCUUCUCGUGCGUAAUGGAUUCCUGUGCGUGAUAACACGAGUGAGAAGCCGGAAUUUCGGUCAUUGAUCCGGUAAAAAUGUAUCUCAUUGAUUUGUGUCAGACAAUUCUGAUCCGGGCUGAUAGUUUCGUUCUACCAAUGAUCCGUCUUGAGUUAUUUCAAUGAAAAUAAGGAAAAAAAAACGCAAAAUGGGUUGCUGCCAUGUCUGUGCUCUGUGUGGAUGAUUCAUAUUAGGUCAAAAAAGUAGUUCUGAACAUAGUAAAGGAGGAAACCAUGAGCUAAGUAAUAUCUAUCCUAAAGACUGCCUGGCCUUAGAUUGAUAUGUUUUAAUGCCUCUGUAGGAGCCGAAGAUCUGUAAUAUUCUUCAUUCAUUAGAAUUGAUUGGCUUCAUUCAUUAGACAUCUUUCAUGUCUUUAUGGCGGUUUUGAUUUCCUUUGGUCAGACUGGUUUGCCUAAUUAAAAUGUAAAGUUGAUCCGUUUUAUGAUGGUUUCAGUUUUUCUUUUGGAUUGGCUGGCUUUCAUAAAAAUCUAAAGACCCACACAUGUGGAGUUCAAAUGGUUUUGUUGGAAUUUAUCUUACAAGCUAAUCAGUUCCAUCAGGCAACUUUAGAUGAUACCCAAAUGGAGUGGGUCGAAACGAAAUGAAAAUCAUUCAAAGUGAGUUCAGAUUCAGUUUUCUUAUUUCUCUGAGAAGAUGCGUGCGGGUGACUAUUUGGUCUAGGAAGAAGGAAAAGCUAUGAGAUCAGAGGAAAGUACGGUUGGUAGAGGUUAAAUUGAAUGGCGCUGCAGUUUAAUGGGGGAAGAGAAUUGAAGAACAGUCAGCCCGGGAAGCCCAAGAUCUGCUCAUGGCUGCACUUCAAUGCAAAGUUAUGGCAGCGAUUUUUUUCUGGCUGAUUAUGUGAUGAAGUCUCACAGCUUGAAGCAAAGAGGGAUGGGAUAACUGUAUAUAUGGGUUUAAUAUUCUUAGAUGGUGAAAAAGCUAGUUCUAGUGCUAUGAGUAGUUCUUAGAUGGGUGACAAAUCCAACUGGAGGCUAAAUCUAACAUGAAAGCCAGAUGUAAACCAUUAAAUUAAUGCUGAUGCAGUUCAGUUCGGAUUUGGCUCUGGAUUUCGAGCUAUAAAUUUCACUUUUUAAAAAUGAGGUCUUGUUUCUUAGCAAAUAAAGGUCUCCAAAUAUAGUGCUGAAGCUCAGAGCCAUAAGACCUAAUUUAAGAGAAUUAUAUUAAUGAGGUAAAUGAUGAUACAAUCACAAUGAUGGAUACUGAUUGAACCUAAGUUGAAGAUGAAUGUGGAGUAGGGAUAGUAUCCUCCAAAUUAGGACGUUUUGGCAGUACCAGCGUUCAUAAUCUACUGCUUGAUGGGUUUGCAGUAAACGAAAAAUCUUGGCAUGAUCUAGCAAACAAUGCAUUGUGUCUUCAUUUUUAGCCAUUCCAUUCGUCCUGAUGCAUGUGAAAUGGAUUUCAAUGUUUUGUAGGCAGAUGAAACUGUAUCGUCUCCUUUGUAGUUUCUCUCUCCCUCUGUACCUUGCUCCUAUGCUUUGUCUAGCGACCACGGGGUUAUUAUUGUUUCUUUCUCUUGGGGACAAUCUUUUUCUUUUAAUUUGAUUGUUUCCAUGUCAAUUUCUGCAGGUAUAUCUGGUUCCUGAAAUGCUGAGGCAAAUCUCUGGCUAGAAAAACUAUGGUAAAUUAUUUGGAAUUUGAACCUGAAGAAAUCACCCCUCUUUGGGAACUACAGGAGGUAAAUAUCAUUUGUUUCCCCUCUGACGAAUACUUAGAUAUCAAGUAAUAACGAGAAAGACUGCAGUUGAUUAAUUUAAAUACUCUUUUAUGAGUGAUAUUCUUGCCAUUAUUAUAGUUAACCUUAUUCAAAUUGCGGUUUAUUUUCUUUCAUUUCAGUCAUCAUAGACGUGCGGCUGUACAUUAUUGGCAAAGAUGCAGCGUGCUCCAGCUACUUCGGAGGAACAGCUAUUUUUCAAAGCUAUCAAGGAAGAAUGUCCUUGGGAAAAUCUUCCUAAACGACUUCAGUCAUCUUUGUCUACGAGAGAGGAAUGGCAUAAAAGGUUGCCUCUAAUCUCACUUAUUAUCUGACAAUGGAGGGGAUGUUUACCGAUCAGUAAUCUUUAAUUAUUGAACCUUUUAGUGGCAUUGAUUAAAAUUGGUCAUUGUACCUUUUUAUGGCAGAAGCUUAUGAUUAGCCUUGUCAAUCUAUGAAGUUAUCCAGUAGGGUUUUAUCCAUAUUGCAUCAUGUUAAUAGCCAAAAGCUUGUGCAUCCACUGUAUCUCCUAUUGUAUUGAGCUACAAUAAUUAUAGACAAUCAGCGACAGGAAAUUAUUUUUAUCUGUUUCUAUAACGGUUCCUUAGCUAUACAUAUCGUGACUAAUUCAUUCGACAUCAAAAACGAGGUUUUCAAUGGCCUUUAAGUGCUCACUUUUUUUCCUUUGUUGUUCACUAUUUUUCUUAAUUAGCUUUCUUGUAAUGUUUCGUUCCUUUUGAUUCGCUUUUUCUUUCUUAGGUAAUGCUCAAUACAGUAUUUUUCUACCGCAGUUUUAUGGACUCAGGAGUUACAAUUUACUCCGUUUCCUGGUCAUAUAACAACAUUAUUUGUGGUGCGAUUUUGAUUGUGAGCUUGAUUUACUACCCGCCACUUUCUUUACAGUGUAUUGUCUUACCAGGUGGGUUAGAAUUUUUUGUUCCUCCGUUUCUCCCAUCUUAACUCCUCAGUCAAUGUGUGCUAGGUGACUACUGAGUAUACCUGACAUUAGUCAGAUGAUAUAUUAAAAUUUAUUCAUGCCCUCAUUGAAUUCAUGAGGAUAUCAUGAUUUUUCCUAUUAAAUAAAUUUACUCUUGAUUUGUGGGGUUGUAGGAUUUUCAUCAUGGACUCGGAUUGUGCUCUUGGGAUGGCUUCUCUGUUUCUUUUAUCAUUUCAUUUAAAGGACAGGAUGAGAACCUGAAGACUUAGCAAUAAAAUGCAUCAUCUGAAGGAUAAAUUUGUUAUAGUACAUCAAUACAAAUAUUACGUACGGGACAUGGACCCUGUCACUCUCAUUGGAGACAUGUAACUUAAGUAAAUAACCUUAUAGUGAUCAAAUUUUUGACAGCUGAAUACCUUGAUAGAAGUGGUUGCAUAAGUUAACAUGAUUGAAGUUGGGGGAGGGUUCUCACAACUAUGGUUGGACAGACAGUGACACUUUUACUGUUCUCUCCAGGAUAGAACUUUUAUUCUUAGCUUUCUCUUUGUCAGAUCUUGUUAGGUUGAAAGAUAUGAUUUCUUUCUUCUUACUUUGUGUUCACAACUGUCAGCAAUCAUUACGCUAGCUAUUUCUUUUUUUCUAAACCUUCGCAUCUUUGUUCGCAGGAUAGUAGACCACUGCAUUAGGAAACGACUGCAGUGGAAUACAUGUUUUGCUCGUAAGGUCUGUAAGGAAGGAGAAUAUUAUGAAGAGAUGAUGCGAUACCUGCGUAAGAAUCUAGCGGUGUGUACUGAGACCAUAUUUGAAAGUUUUAUGAUUUCUGAUCAUCAGUAUUUUUUAUUAGGACACUCUCUAGGGUAGAGCUUAUGUGCUCAUUUUUUAUUUGCUGUCUAAUUCUAUUAUGAUAGUCCAUAGAAUUUAUUUUCCAAUAUAGGGCACGAAUUUAUUCUUUUUUGUAUUUCUAUUUUCAUUUGCUUAAGUGGGUAGAAUUUUUGAGGUCAUGAUGUGAGAUAAUGAAGAAGAAGACGAAUUGUAAAAUCUGGACCCGUUAUCAUAUCUUUGUGCUAGCUUGAGGAGGAAGGGAUAUUUGACCAAAGAUGCUUGAUGGGGUUGUCCAGACGUUCUGUUGGGUUGUAUAAAGCUAAACUUUAGAAAAGUAAUUAAUGUGAGGCCAUCUGUUCCUAUCUAACCUAUUUUUUUUCUCAAAUUCGGAUUAUUCACUCAAUCCUUUGUUUUUCAGUUAUUUCCAUAUCAUCUUUCGGAGCAUAUCUGUCGAGUAAUGAGGAUCUCACCCUUCAGAUAUUAUUGUGACAUAAUCUUCGAAGUUAUGAAGAAUGGUACGUGCUGGCCUUACUGGAUCUAUUUUACUCUUGAGUUUUAAUUAACAAGCUAAAUUUUGAUGGUCUCAUUCACUUUGGUGUAUGUUAUGCCAGUGAUGGCUGUCAAAAUCAAAAAUGGUUUAUUCGAACCACAUGUUAUUAUUGGCAUAUGUUCAGUGUGGAUUGUAGUUUGCCACUUUGAAAUUGGAUAUUCCUAUCAAAUUUCAAUUUUUUUAGUGCUACAACUGUUCUCAAACUUUGCAGCUUUGUCAGAAUUCAAGGCUUGGUUGCCCACAUGUUAUUUUUAUCCUAAAGUCAUUUGGUCUCCAUAACCCCCUGAUUGACCUGUUAAUUCAGUUCCAAGUUGUCUUUAUAUGAAACGUCCAAUGGAUUUAUGGAGUUCUUGUUGUCCAGAAAGAAUAAUUUGUUCUAAUCACAUAAGUUAUUCUCACGUGAAUAGGGUCUUUGUAUUGCUAUGUUCUUCAAGAUGACUGUAGACCUUGUUCUUCAGUACAUCAUACUCAAUCUCUCAAUCAUUAGGUCUUCCUUCCCUUAUCAAACCAGGUUCCUGUCUGACAGCCCAAGUCUUUUUCUUAUCCUGGAUGGUGGACCUAAUUUUAAGUUUGGCAUAAUUGAAGAAUGAUGUAUAUUUUGGUCAGCGGACCAGGUCUUUAGAUUGUUCGCAAUUUUAAAGCCAGUGGUAGUGUGUCCGUGAUGACUUAACCUCUUUCAAGUACCCUUCGUUUUUCUAAAUUUUUUAAAUUCUAGACUAAGUUCGUCUGUUGCAUCUUUUGAUAAAUAUAGACUAUUAGUCAUAAGGGUUUACUUUUCAUCACCUCGGUGCCAUCAGUGAAUAAUUUUCUUAGUCGCUAUUUGGAUUCAGAUUUAUGUCUAAAGCUAAUCCAAUUUUUAUAUGUUAGCUUGGGUUUAACCAAAUUCAUUAGCAGAAUUUUUAAGUAAUAUUUUCAGGCCAAAAUAUGAUUUUUUGGAAUCUAGUUCUAAGUGGAAAAAAAAAGUGUUCUGCUAUCCUUGAGUUUUUGGAAAUGUCUCCACUUACACUUUGCCUUGGGCUUUUGUUUGGAUUUUAUCUACUGUUGGUAAAAUUUUGGUGAAAAAGUAAAAGAAAAGGGGAUAGUCUGAGUUUAGCCACCUCAUGACUUUACCUCCAAGAGCUAGAAAUCAAGAAAAAAACCAUUUGGGUCCAUUCCUUGGCAAUCAUGGAGUCCCCUGAAAGUUAUCAUUGCUAUGCAGUCAAAGUUUAAAGCUGUGAAUUUGGUGGUAAACCUUUCCAGGGUUAUUGGGACCACUCAUUUGAUGUUGCUUCUCGUAGAGUACAACUCUUUUCUGAAGUUGUUAUAUGUUUAACACAUUAUGUUUUUGAUGCCACAGUUGAUCAUAGGAAAUAUUAUUCAUUCUCUUUGACAUUCCAUUCAUAUUUAAAUAUGUUAUUUUCUAGAAAUUAGCCUCAGUUUCUUUAGCAGCUGAGGAUGUCUAUGCAUCAUACCUGUUUUCUCUUGCAGAGCAACCGUAUGACAGCAUACCCAAUUUCAGUGCUGCUGAUGCCUUGAGACUUACUGGGAUAGGCCGAAAUGAAUUUAUUGAUAUAAUGAACAAAUGUAGGUCAAAGGUAUCCGCCACAACCCAAGAUACUUCAUAGACUUACUUAAUUGGUGAUUUCUGUAAUUUUUUUCAUGGAUUUAUGCAUUUAUCAAAUUUCGAUCUAGAUGUAGGACGUAGGUAAAAAGUAUUCAUAUACAAAUCAAUAGUUUGUUCAUCAAUGGAAUUGCAUAACACAAUACCUGAUACAGUGACACAAAUGUACAUCUAGAUGUAAUCAGUCGUUGCUAAUUUUUGUUGGCAUUUUACCGUCUUUGUUAGACAUCAUUUCGUAGUAUCUUCGGUUCAGCUUGGAAAAAAUCUGCCCUUAUCUCUCGUCAAUGAUUUUUUGUUGGUGAAGAAUUUGUACUGGGUUUUUUUUAUGCCGAUUCUUUUUGUUGCCCUGUGGCUCACCUAUGAUGGACCUACGGCUAUUGUAUGUAAUUGGUGAAGUUUAUGACAAUUUUCGUGUCAAAUAAAUAGCAGUUUGGGGGUCUCCUGUGGUCUAGAUCUUCGGGGUGGAUGGAAUCCCACAACCAAUUCAUCACAUUUAAUAUUUCCUUUAUGAGAUGUCACUCAUAGUAGAAGCGCUAUUGAAGGAACAUAGAAUCCUAUGUAACGUCCCCCAUUGUCCAACGGAUUACUGUACUGAACCUGACAUCACAUUCCUUGCCGAAGACAAUGCUCAAAGAUGUCGAAUUUCUGAAUCUCUUUGCCAUCUGGCAUGCAAUACUUACUCAAUUCUACAAAGCCUUGGUCUAUUUUAAGGCCCAUUUGUAUGUGCUAUGAUAUUAGUGUCAUCAUCUUAGACAAAAGCCACAUCUACGCCUUGUAUCAUUUAGUUGCCUAGAGGAUCAAGUAGGCUUCCAUCAAGCUCUCUUCUCAUCACAUGCAGUGCACCUAGGAAAGUCUUUAAAUUCCACCCUCUGAUGGUUGGUGACAAUCAUAAGAAUCUAAUGCAGUAAAAGAGAUGAGCAUGUUUGUAAGUCAGAAAUAUGGGGCCAUACUGAGGAAUCAAUCACUAGGACUGCUCACUUUCACCUUGACAUGUAUUCCUUUCCAUAGUCCCUUUUUCAUGCCCUGUUCUAUACCAUGAGUUGAUAUGAUUGGCCAUUUCAGUUCUUUAAAAUUUUGAGAUGCCUUGAUGUCUUCCACAUAAAAUGGUAUCUGUGAAAUGCUCAGAGGGAGGCAAUUAGCAUAAUAACAAAAUGAAAACUUGGUAUUGACACUUGAUAUAACACCAAGAGUUUUCACAUCCACGGUAGUUCUAUUAAACCGUUUCAUGUGAUCAACAUUGGGCAUUUUUUUUCAUGUAGUGUAACGCCUUUUGCUUCAGAUAUCCAAUUGUUCAGAGUGUAAAAACAUAUGGUCACAUGCCUUUAUGCUACUUUGAACUGGAGUUUUGUCGCAGUAGCUUCAUCAGCCUGCUCUCUCAACUCAUCAAAUGUUAGGGAUGGACGACUUGUACUUUGAUCACACUCUAAGUGCUUCCUUGUCAUCAUUCUUUCAUUCAGCAGAUAAUAUAUCUGUGUCCGUGACUAUCUUGCCUAAUCCUUGUACGAAUUGGGUCUGUAUUUUUGGUCUCAAGAUAUUGAACACUGUCACCUUCCCAUGAGAUACCAUUAUGUCUUAGUUCUGAAGCUAACCUCAUAGUUGUAGCUCUAAGAUAUCGGCAACCGGAAGAUCAAACACUAUUUUCUUGUUACCUGUGGUACUUACGAAAUUUUGGGUUCAAGUUUUGAACAGGUAGACAAAAUUUUAUGCAUUGAUUUCUAGAACCUGCUUCAAUGCUCAUUUGCCCUAUGGGAUGAAAGAAUGGGGCAGAAGUUAAACAUGUACACUCAUGAACCACAAGGUGUACCACAUAUGAACAGAGUUUUUGCAGUUUGCUGGCUCACCCGUACAUCCACAGGAGGUAGCAGUCUUUGAACUUCUCCAGAUUUCAAGAAAGUGCAUUGGGUCUCAGUCUGACCAUAAAGUAGGAAAAGGAACUCUAUGAUUUCUGUCUCCACAAGAUAUUCCCUCUUUAUUUCCUCCCUAAAAAGAGGAGAAGCACCUCCAUAGCCUAUGAUGGAAUCAAGAUUCUGACAUUAAGUAUUUUGUCUCCUUCUGUACUCUCAUCGCUCUUUAGAGAGGUUCUUGCGUUAGGAUCAGAUCCUUUCCACCCUGGACUUUUAUCUGUUUCCUGAUAAAUCUUUCCUUGUUUUAUAUUUUGCUCUCCCAUGUAGUGUUGUGAUGAGAAGGAAAAUUUACAUAAUUUUCCCACAACACCUACUUCCUCAUUAAGCAGAACUUAAAGGUCCAGUCAGUCCAAUGGCUUCAGGUUUACUUCAGUAUCCACUAUGCAGCCGGCAUGAUGAACCGUUGAAACAAUAUUGUUUUCUAUUCGCAAAAGACCACUAAUGAAUUUAAUGCAAAGGCGGAAUUUAUACUAGAUUGCUCGUUUUUUGCGUAUUAAUAAUUAGUACUUUCUACUUAGCUUGAGCUCUAAGAGGGCUGACACUUGGUUUCUUAAGUUUUAAAUUCAUAUAAUAAAAUAUUUAACGUUUGUUUUCAAUUUUCUGCCAUGUGGUCCAUCCAGAAAAUUAUGUGGAAACUGAACAAGUCAAUAGCUAAGGAAUUUCUACCUACGCAACCAGUUGAUUUUUUAAUUGAGCCAUGGUGGGGAGUUUGUCUUGUCAACUUUACCCUGGAAGAAUUUAAGGUAUGCAUGACAGUUUUCCUCUUUCUAACCUGAAAAAUGUGUAUAGAAAGAUAUACUUGCAGAGAAAAUUUAUAUCUUGCUUCGUUCUUUAUUGAUUCAGUUAAGAUCUCUUCUUGCUAUGCAGAAACUCAGUGAAGAAGAGAGUGCGACCAUAGAUAAAAUCUGUAAAGAAGAAGCAAAUUCAUUUUUUCUUUUCGAUCCUGAUGUCAUAAAAGGUCUUUACCAGAGGGGUCUUAUUUAUUUCGAUGUUCCAGUUUAUCCUGAUGACCGUUUUAAAGGUAUAUUAUCUGGAGCCCCUUUGUUUUUUGGCUGUUUUAUCAAGUCUUCAUCUUGAAAUCACUAGACAGAAUUUUGCGGCUGUUGUGUUUAGAAUCAGAUUUUAUUUCGUGGAGCAUUGCUUUGCUCUCAGAUUUUUAUCACUUUGCUCUUCAAUAGUAUGAAGGAAGCCUAUGAAGCCGUGUACUGGUCCCUUUUCAGCAUGAAAUUUGGUUUUUAGGAGUAGCCAUUGUGUAGCUGAUGCAUUGGGCUGCUAUCCCUGUGGAAACUGUAGCCCACUAUUUCGAUCUAUCAUGCUUUCAAAUUUCCUUUUGAAAGGUAUCAUUCUAUGUAAGAUGACUUUCACAGUACAUAAGAAUAAAUCGUUCCUUGUGUUUUCAUCUGAGUGUUGAUAUUAACCAGACGAAAAGCUAAGUUCUUUUCAUGGAAGUGUUGCAUAAUGUUAAGACUUUUCGUAAGUAACACGGGUUUUGAUGCUCGUAGAAAAUCCAUGUGACAGCGGCUUUAAAUGUACACACUUUGUCCUAGUUUCUUUCGCCAAGAUGAUGCAACAGGAUGCUGUUGUUGCCACCAAAGGAAACUAUAAAAUUCAGUUUUUUUUUGCCAAUUUUAUUUGUAUUUUGGUAACAGAAACCUAGAAAUGAGUGUAGUUUGUAGUUCAUCUUGAUUUUUCUCAUUUUUAAAUUCUAAAAAUCAGGAUCAUUUGGUCUACUUAGAGGAACCAGCAAAGCAUAAUUAAAAACUGAAUACAACUAGUUCUUAUGCGUCUAUGCUAUGCAAUUUGGAUAGAUAAAAAUCCAAUCAUCUUAUUUUUUUGGAAAUGUCAGUUAUCCUUUCAUUUAUUGUUGAAAAUUUGCGCAUUAAAUGUUUUAAUCGGAGGACAGUGUCUUCUCAUCAAAUUAAAUAUUAUAUGACCGUAUAUGUAAUAAACUGGAUAAGAGUUAAGGAAAAUAGGAUGUACUUUAUAAAAAUUGAAAUCGGUUAUGUUGCUUCAUCCUUGAUUUACAAGAAGGUAUCUGCUGUUCCUUUUUUCUAGUUGUUACUUUCGUGCUUAUCUUCUCUCUAGUUAUUGUCUUCUUUUCAGAUUGUUAAUUCCAUCCUCGUGCAGUUUCCAGACUAGAGGGGUUUGUUUCAAAUAGGGAGCAAAGUUAUGAAGACCCUAUAGAAGAGUAAGUUCCUCUAAAAUCAUCCUUAUGUGACAAUUUUUUGUAUUAUUUUAUCCCCCUAUUGUUGUGUUUUAGAAUUUGCCGUGUGAAAUGAAUACUUUAACCUUUCUGCAGGCUGCUCUAUGCUGUUUUUGUUGUUUCAAGUGAGAAUGCAACUGUUGCUGAACUGGCUGCCACAUUACAAGCUGACCUCUCUCAGCUACAAUCUGCUGCAUCUUUUGCCUGUCGACUAGGCUGGGCUGUCAAGGUGAUUGAACCAGCAGCUAUUCUUGGGGAUUCUUCCUUAGCAAGUUCUACCACUUUACUAAGUGAUGACGAAGAUGCCAGUAACGGCUUAGUUAGUGUGACGACUGCUGCUGAUCCUAUUCAACAACGCAAUGGCUCACAUGGUUCCAGUGCCACUCGUAUUUGUUUAAUUGUGGAUGCAAAUAUCACAUCCUAUCUGAUGAUGGGCUCACUUUCUCCAGGUUUUACCUCUGCUGCCAGCUUCAUAGAUGGUGCAUUUAACAUAUUUGCUUGAUUGGUGGGUCAAACAUGUCAUUUAAAAAACGUUACUAUUUAGUGUGGCCUAUUUCAUGUUUCUCUUCUAGAGAUGCUUGUCUAUAAAAGUAGCCAAAAAAUGCAUGUUCUAACCUCAGUUGCAUCCUCACGGUUCUUCUUCCGUUUUAAGUGGCCAUCUGUAUUUGCUCUGCAAAUUUCCAUCUUAUUAAGGAGGUUGAGCAUAUAACUUUCUUGAAGGAGUAAUUGACAUGUAAACUAAAUUCCGUGAAGGCUGUCAUGUGAAAUUGACAUUAAUAGGAGCACCUAGUAAGAAAUCACCUUUUUUUCGCGAUGCUUUUUGAUGGGGAAGAGAAGCUGAAAUAAACUUUGAUGGAAGCUAUCGACACUGAUCUGGAAAUAGCCGUGUAUAGAAACACGAUUACGCCGGGUGAAUUUAUGACGAUGACAACAAUGAUUUCUGCAGCGUAGUAGUGCUGCAGUGCUCAUUAUCGGCCUAGGUUGGCCAGAUGAAAUACUGGUAAAGAUCUGAAGCUUCUGUGCAAGAUUCUGUACGGCCUUAGAAAACUGGUGCGCCACAAGGUUUUCCCUCAUAAAUAUUCUGCCUCAAUGGGAAGGCAACACUAAUGCGAACUAGAAUUCAGAAGAUUUUUUCUUCCUGGUCAUGUCAGUGUUGUAUACUGGAGUUCAUGAGAUCUUUGUCUCAUUGUGAGGGUCACUAGGCUGUUUCUUAAGAGUAUUAAAAUCUUCACAUUUUGAUUUGUAUAAUUAGAAGUUUUUUCUAUUCCUUAGUGAGAGUUUUGUCUUGGACUAUGAAUGAUCUUCAUUAUGUAGUCCACACCUUUGUAUGCAUCACGUCUCCUUUCUUAAUGUCAGGUCCCACUUUACAAUCAGUAUUUACUGAUGCUCAUUCAGAUUUUCUUUCCAUCAACGUUCUGUUUCUGCUUCACUAUGACUCCCAACAGAUGUCAUCAUGCUUAUUCUACAAGUCCUAUUCUCCGCCCAAAACAUGUUUCCUUCUUUUUGUAUAAAGGGACUUUGAUACAGGAAAAUGACUUUACAGUAUGUGAAAUUAUAGUAAAGAGAAAGGUAACACUUGAUGCAAGGGCUAAUUAUCCUCUUUUAAAGAGAUUAGUUAUUUUGCUGCUGCGCUCGAUUUUGGCAAACCCUGUAAAUGAAUCUUCACAUGUAUGCAAACCAAAUAAGAUGUUUCUUGGAUAAUUUUUGCUUGCAUCAACUAGCGCCACCCUUACCCCAGCUAAAGGAUAUAAAAGCGUCAAGGCUAAUGGUUUACAGAUUAAUGUUGCUGAGGUCAUAGUCAUUUAGUUUCUGAGCAAAGAUUUCUCUUGCAUACUUCUGUAAAGCGUUGUUUAGUUUGAACUCCACCAGUUUGAUUGAUUAGAGUGACCGUUUCAUCUGACUAUCCUAAAUUUAAGGGCUUCUAUGCCUGUAAACGACAUUGAAGGAAUAAUUUUAGGCAGACUUAUGUGGUCAUGCGGUUGUUUCAAUUUUCAUAGCCAUGCUGUAUGUUUAUGGUAGUAUUUUCCAAGUAUUCUUAGUAGGUAGAUAACGUGCCAUCUCUUGGACACUGAAAAUGAUUAAUGACCGAUUGAAUUUUUCAGUUCAGUGAUGCAUCGAUAGUAGAUCAUGCUACUAACUAGUUGUAAAUCUGACAACCGUUUGAGUCCCUUAUAAUUUAUUUCUCUGUUCUGUUCGGUUACUUGAACUAAGUCUGUGUUGUUAUGCCUUCCAUAUGUUGUUAACCAAUCAGACAGUUUUUUCUGCUCCAAAUAAUUUUUUCUGGUCAUUUUUUCAACUAGAUACCCUGUCAUGUCCACAAAAGUGAACCAAGGUCGUUCAGAUGUACCUUUAAUCAUGAUUUUUCCUGGAAGGAUAUAUCUUUUACAUGACACGUGAGGAAAGUUUGACGUGACACUUAGCAUCUUAGUACAUGAUUUUGGCUCACUUCCAUGGUACUUAUCCUUCGCAGGACUGAAAUCCCAUGCAGUAACGCUAUAUGAAGCAGGAAAACUCGAUGAUGCCAGUAUUUCGGACCUUUGCAAGGAUCUGGCUACAUUGGAAGGGAAAAAAUUUGAGGGGGAAUUGCAGGAAUUCGCUAAUCAUGCAUUUAGUCUUCGAUGUGUGUUGAAAUGUCUCCAAUCAGGUGGUGUUGAAGUGGAUGAACUGGAUGGGAAAUUAUCAAAUUCUAGUGGCGCUUCCCACUUAUCCAAGGAGGAUGCCAUCAAUGAGUCUGCUGACUCUGAGAAAUAUGUCACAGAUGGAAAUAAGCACCUGCUUCUUGAAUCAUCUCAGGGUGAUUCCAUUUCAUCUGAGAUUGGGGUGACGACUGAUAAUCAGGCAACCGAUGCAUUGCUGCCUGAAAAUCAGGACAUAAUUCCGGGUGACGAGGCUUCAUUUUCAACUGGUGGUAAGUUGUUAAGUGAAAAAGACAACUUAACUGGAAAAAAGAGCUACCAUGUGAAUAUCCUCCGCUGUGAAAGCCUCGCUGCUCUUGCUCCAGCUACUUUAGAUCGGCUAUUUCUUCGGGACUAUGAUAUUGUUGUGUCCAUGAUCCCACUUCCCUCUUCCUCUGUUCUACCUGGAUCUGCUGGUCCUGUGCACCUUGGCCCGCCCUCAUACUCAUCGAUGACUCCUUGGAUGAAGCUUGUACUGUACACAACCAUGGCUAGUGGACCACUCUCAAUUGUUCUCAUGAAGGGUCAGUGCCUGCGAAUGCUUCCUGCUCCACUAGCUGGUUGUGAGAAAGCUCUGAUAUGGUCCUGGGACAGAUCUGUUGUUGGAGGCUUGGGAGGCAAGUACGAGGGGAACUUGGUCAAUGGAAGUAUUCUUUUGCAUUGUCUGAACUCACUUCUGAAGCACUCAGCUGUGCUGGUACAGCCCCUGAAUAAAUAUGACCUUGAUGAGUCUGGAAGGACGGUCACAAUGGAUAUUCCACUGCCUUUGAAGAAUUUCGAUGGGUCAGUUGCUAAUAGUGGGGAGAUGGGUGUUUGUAAGGAAAACAGUGCAAAGCUAAAUCUUCUCCUACAUGAACUGUCUGAGAAACUAGAACUAUGGACAGUAGGGUAUAUACGUCUUUUGAGGCUGUGUAAGGAGAGAGAAAAUCAUCACUCUGCUUCCCAUGAUGAAAAAUAUGAAUGGGUUCCCUUAAGCAUAGAAUUUGGGAUUCCACUGUUUAGUCCGCAGUUAUGCAGGCGGAUAUGUGAGAGGGUUGUUUCCUCACGUCUGCUUCAUACUGAAUCAAUUACUGAGCAUCAUGAUUCUAUGCAGCGUUUGAGAAGAAGACUCAGUGAUAUCUGUUUAGAGUACCAAGCAAUGGGUCCCACGGCGAAACUUUUAUACCACAAAGAGCAAAAAGACCAGCCCAAAGAGCCAUCCCGCCAGUUAAUAAACUAUGCUAGUGGGAGGUGGAAUUCUAUCUCAGAGCCAUCAAUGGCUCUAUCUGAAACGUCCAGUGAACAUCAGAGGUUAAAGCUUUCUAAUCGACAGCGGUGUCGUACUGAAGUUCUCAGUUUUGAUGGAAAUAUUCUCAGGUACAAUAUGAAUUAUUUCAUGUCUUCACUACCAGUUUGUUAGCCCUAUCUAUGGUGUUCUGUUCUUCAAUACCAAAUUCGAUUGUGCUGAUUUCCAAAGUUUAAAAAUUGCUUGUUCCAAAAUCUUGUAAAUCUUGUACGCCAUUCUUUUACACUUGUGCAUCCUAUAUUUUCUUUAUCGCAAAUCUUGUAUGCCAUCUUUUACAUUUAGUACGGGCGAUGCUUGACAUUAAAUCUACAUAUUUUAUAACUUUUCAGUCAUACAGAUCCCUGUUGUGUCAAUGAAAGUUUGGCAUCCAAAAUAGGAGCCAUAGAUUAUUUAAUAUGGAGAUUUGGUUAACCUGUAAGCAUGCUUGCAUACUCCUGAUGAUGAAGGUUAUAUGAGACGUUUUCUACUAUUUUUCAUUUAUCUCGUAGAUGUUUGAGGCCCAGUUGAAUAAUUACUUUUUGGAGACAGUCCGGAGAGCCAACUGAAUCCCUCAUGACCCUUUUUUGAGCAGGUCAUAUGCCCUCUCACCUAUCUACGAGGCUGUGAUGAGGCCUAUUGAAGAAUCAAAUAGUGCAAGUGCUGUGAAACCUGAGUCAGACGAUGCAGAAAAAAGAGAAGUGAUCCUGCCUGGGGUCAAUAUUUUAUUUGAUGGUUCACAGACGACCCCCUUUGACAUAGGCGCUUGUCUUCAGGCUCGUCAGCCCAUUCUGUUGAUUGCUGAGGCCUCAGCCAUCUCAGCCUCCUUGCAGACGAACAAGACUUUAUGAUUCAAAUUCAUUCUUUUUUUCUUUGAAAGGAGAUCAUCUAUAAGUUGGCCAGAAAUUGGGAAUCAUAUCUGCCUUGCCACCGACACAUAGCCAGCUUCAGGGUAACGCCAAGAAGGUAUCAACGUUGAAUACAUUGUUUCCUUCCAAGUUCUACUGGUGAUUAGAUUUAAGGUGGGGGAAAUGUGGGACAAUUUAUUUUGGAAUGAGUUAUUGUCACCGGUGCCCACCCUUUAUAUGACAGAUCUCAACUAUUUUUGUGCCCUUAAUAGGCCUAGUAUUUCCGGCAUUUGCGAUGGCUUCUUUAUUUCUUUAUGUUCAAAAUAAUAAGAUUGUCUAGGUAAGAUGUAUGGGACCAAAUCUCGUCUCAGUGUAAUUGCUUGCAUCCUCUUCUGCUGGCCCGGGGCGCCAUUCUGCCAGCAUUGGGCAGCUUUAGACCAUGCGGAGCCACUUCUUGGCACAAGGCCAGAUGUUUCUCUCACUCAAGACUACACUUCUGAAGUGCCAACCUGCUCCAAGAGGCUGCAUGUUAUUCCUUAUGUUGUCCCUUUGAUCAGACGGCCCAGCAAUGUGGAGCACAGGUCUCAUUGUGAGGUUAAUUAGCUCGUCCCAUUAACAUCCAUCUGCAGUCGUGCAAUGCCUACUUGUGCUUAAUCACAUUUUAGGGUUUUCUACAACUCUUCCUGUGCUGAUGCCAUGCCAAUUUCAUGCCGUGAUAGGCUCAAGAUAGAUCUGAACAAAAGCUCAAAAGCUCAACAGUGAUCAUAUGAAAUUCACCCAUCUGUUUAUAACGAUUAACCAGAAUCAAUACAACAUGCAAAUAUCAGAAAAGUCUCAGACAUUGGCAUUCAAAACCUUAAAAGUAAUGACGACCGAGGUUGCUAAGCAUCUAACAACAGAUUAGGUGAUGAGACUAUAUUUAUGUAAGUAAAUGUCAAAGAGCAUAAGAUUCACUCUAAAUUAUUUGGACAGUUAAUAAAAAAUGCAAAGGAAAUGAGUAAUUUCAACCAUUGAUUUGGAUAGAAAAAUAUUUGGUCAAAUGGGUAGGCAUUUUCAAAGACGUGUCAAGAGGAUAGCAAGAGGAUGCGUCUACUGGCAAGUGUGCAGACCGAUACGGAUGGAUAUUAUGGCUGCAAAAUCAAGUGUUCCAGUGGGAACUUGUAGCUGAAGAGAUGAUCGGCAUGUAGAUCAUCUCUUCAGCCACAUGUGUUCAAAAGAAGAGAGUGGGAGGAUGGGAAAAGCUGCAGAAGAAGCGAGAGGGGUGACAGGAAGAGGUGUAGAAGAUGUUGGAGUUUAUCUCAGUGGAUCAGCGAAAGGAGGAAGGUGUUUGACAUUUGUCCAGCUUAAGCUAGUAGUUUUUCUUUCUAUUUCUGGAUUUUUAAGUGUUUUUAAACACUUUGAUGUCAUUUAGUCACAAUUGUCGGUUUCUUUAGUUAUAUUAGCCGUGAUCAUGUCAUGUAGGCAUCUAUGAGCAGGUAAUAGUAACGACAGCUUUAAUGUCGUGAUUGUUCGACUUAAGUUUUAUAAGAGGACUGGUCUAGUGUUGUUUUUAGGGUGUAUGAUUUUCUCCUUUGCUGUAAUACAAUUUGGGAAUUUUUUGUUUCUCCAACAUUCUUCUUGAUUCACUCUUGUGAUACAAAGGAUUGUAAGUUAGAUCUUACAUUUGGUAUCAGAGUAUUUUUAAUUCAGAUGUCUCGAUUAACAAUGACAUUGUGAUGGGUAGAAGCAUCCCAAGAACUUGCGUCAUGAGAGUAAAUGGAGCAGAGCAACUCUCUCAAAUUGGUACCUUCCUUGUUUUUACCAAGCUUAACUAUUAAGUGUGGGCACCUCGAAUGUGCUUGCAUCUUGAAGAUCUUGAGCUAUAGGAUGCCAUCGAGAUAGAAAACCUAGCAAGAAAGAGAGAUCUCUUGUGAAUUAGAUGUGAAGAAAAUAAUUAAGCAAAUGUGGACGUUCUUGAAAGCUAAGAAUGAAGAAGUGUCACAGUUGUGGACAGCCUAAAUCUAGUCCCUCCGAAGAGAAUAUGAAAAUCUCUCGAUAGAUGAGGGCAAGCUCAUCAUGGACUAUUUUAGCAAGUUGACUUAUAUUGUGGUCGAAUUAAGGAGCUUGGGAGAAAAAUAUCCAAAUGAAGAGAUAUCUAGAAAACUUCUACAAUCUAUCUCAAGAAAAUUUGCCUCAAUUACAACAUCAAUCGAGCAGUUCUAGGAUCUCAAUAGCAUCUCUCUUGAGGAAAUGCUUGCAACGUUGAAGAUCCAUGAAAACAAAUUAAAAAAUUAUUCAACCAAGCGAGAAAAAAAAGCUCUGUUGACUCAAACAAUAGGGAAAAUGAAAGAAGCCAAAGAAUCUCAAUCAAGAGGAAGAGAAAAUGGUUGAGGAAGAGAAAACGGUUGAGGAAGAGGCAAAGGAUGGGGUAGAGGGCAUGGAAGAGAUACAUCUGAGCCUUAAGACAAUGAUGAAAAUGAUGACAAGCCAAGAGAUAGGUCUAGUGUCACAUGCUACAAUUGUCAAAAGAAAGGGCACUAUGUAAAUGAGUGUCGACUGCUCAAGAAAAAAAAGCCUAAGCCAAAGGUUGAGAAGGUGAAUGUUUCUGAAGAGCAAGACUUGGAAUCUGAAUCCUCCCUUCUAAUGGCAUAUGAGAAAAUUAAAAUUCUUCUUCAAGAAGUAUCUCAUAUAGAAUUAAAGAUUGAGAUGUGAUAUCUUGAUACAAGUGUCACUUCUCACAUGAUAGGGAAAAAGAACCUUUUCUUUGACCUUGACUUGACCUAUAAGGGUAGAGUUAAAUUCGAAGAUGACUCAAUAAUCCCCAUUGAAGGACAAUGCAAAAUUUUCUUAAAUACUAUAGGUGGGAACAAAGUUACCUUGACGAAUAUAUUUUAUCUACGAAGUCUUAAAGCCAACAUUCUAAGUCUUAGGAGGCUCGAUGAACAAGGUUACAGAAUAGCACUUCAUAACGGGACACUUAUAAUUUAUGACUAAAAUGGAGUCCUCUUAAUAAGGAUAAAGAGGAGUAAAGUUGACUCUAUCUUUUUCAUAUUAAUAUAAUCAAAGGAUGCUAUCAUGUUAACAAAGACAUCUUAUGGCUAAGGCACAAAAGGUAUGGUCACUUAACUUCUCUUACUUGAAUUUACUUUCUUCACAAAACAUGAUUAGAGGGAUGCCUAAGAUAGACAAAAACUGUGAUUUGUGUUAAGAUUGUGUCAAUUUAAAGUAAGAAUAACCUUUCCUUCGGAGUCUUCUUUUAUAGCUUCUAAACCAUUGGAGCUACUAUAUGGAGAUAUUUGUGGACCAAUCGAGCCCCUUAUUUUAGGAGGGAGUAAGUACUUUCUACUUUUAGUAGAUGAUUUCACUCGUAUGAUGUGGGUGUCAAUGUUGAAGAAGAAAUCUAACACUUUUGAAGCUCUCAAGAAAUUCAAAUCAUUUGUAGAGACUGAAAAGAAUUUCAAGAUUGUUUGCUUAAGGAUUGACCAAGAAGGAAAAUUCAACUCUAAAGAAUUUAUAAAAUUCUAUAAGGAAAAUGGAAUCUGAAGAAAACUUAUCACUCCUUACUCCCCACAAUAGAAUAGGGUUGUUGAAUGAAGAAAUAAAUCUAUCAUGGAUAUGACAAGAUCUAUGCUGAAGUCCAAAAGCAUACUAAAGGAAUUUUGGGCUGAGGUAGUCAACACGACAAUAUAUCUUUUAAAUCGAGCACCUACAAAGAGUCUAAAUGGUAAAACUUUAUAUGAAUCUUGGACUGGUAAAAAAACUUAAGUUAAUUUCUUGAGAGUGUUUAGUUGUGUCACUCAUGUGAAGAAAUUUGGAAGCUCUCUAAAGAAACUUAAUGAUCAAAGGAUUCCUAUGAUCUUUAUAGGAUAUGAAAAAGGCACAAAAAGCUACAGAGCCUAUGAUCCUACCACACAGACUAUUCACAUCACAAGAGAUGCAAUAUUUGAAGAAAAUAAAAGUUGGUACUGAGUAACUUCCUCUGAAACCUCAAGAAAUGAUAUAGUAUAUUCCUUUACCACUUUAGGUUUUAGUGUUGAGCAAGUCAACGAUGAGCGAGAGCAGUCAAACACUGAAGUAGGUGAAGCAUCAGGAAAUCACAACACUUCUUCUUACACUAAGAGACCUCAAAAGUUCAAAACUCUUUCAAUUAUACUACGAGACUUAGGAAGAUGAUGAGGAAGAAAAAGUAUGUCACUUCAUUAAAGAAGAUGAAGCCAAGUUAAUUGAUGAAGCACUCACUACUAAAGUAUGGAGAAACAUUAUGAUUGAAGAAUUAAAGUAAAUUGAGAAGAACCGUACUUAAUCCUUGGUCUCACUACCUCCAAAUUGUAGACCAAUUGAACUUAAGUGGGUUUACAAGGUGAAAAGGAACUCGUCUAGAGAAAUCAUCAAGCAUAAGGCCUGAUUGGUGGCUAAGGGUUAUGCUCAAAGGUAUGGUAUUGAUUUUACUAAUGUCUUUUCACUAGUUACUCGACUUGAAACCAUUUGCCUUCUUCUAGCCAUGGCAGCCUAAUUCGGAUGGAUGGUACAUCAUAUAGAUGUGAAAUCGGCCUUCUUAAAUGGUGAGAUUCAUGAGGCAAUCUAUGUGACUCAACUGAAAGGGUUUGAAGUCAAAGGCAAAGAAAAUUUGGUUUACAAACUUGAAAAGGCCCUAUAUGAACUUAAACAGGCCCCUAGAGCUUGGUAUUUAAAGCUGAAUAAGAGUUUAAGCACACUAGGACUAGCAAGAAGUGAAUUUGAGCUUACUAUCUACAUUUAGAAAGAAUUAAAUUUCUAAUUGUUUGUGGGUAUCUAUGUUAAUGACCUCCUAAUUACUAGAAGCCCCCAAGAAGUAAUUAGAGACUUUAAAGAGAAAAUGAAGAACCUUUUUGAAAUGACUGAUCUCAAACUCCUAUCAUCCUAUUUUGGAAUCUAGGUAAGUCAAAUUAAUGAGGAAAUUUGUCUAUCCCAAAAGGUUUAUGCCAUCAAAAUUCUUAAAGAAUAUGAUAUGGAGAAAUAUAAUUGUCUCAAACUCUACUUGAAGUUAGACCAAGAUUUGAGUAGAAAGAAAGAGAAAGAAUGGUAGACUCAACUACUUCUUGAAGUCUGAUGGGCUCACUGAUGUAUCUCACCCACAUCAAACCACACUUUUUGUUCUGUGUCAAUUUUCUAAGUCAUUUCAUAUAAAAUUCGACUAUUGAACACUUCAAGAGUGCCGAAAGAAUAUUGAGAUAUAUCAAAGGCACACUUGAUCUUAGCCUAAUGUACAAAAAAGGAGAGAAAUUUGAGCUAGAAGAAUACAAUGAUAGUGACUAUGAAGUAGAUACACAAAAAAGAAGAAGCACCUCUAGAUUUCUCUUUUUCCUUAGUGGAAAUGUGAUAACUUGGGCUUUUUAGAAGCAAAAAGUGGUAGCCUUGUUGUCAUGUGAGGCUAAGUACAUUUUAUUGACUCUUGCUGCUUGUUAAGGGGUAUGGAUGGGAGAAUUUCUUAAAGAAUUAACCAAAGUAGAGCUGAAGCCCAUAAAGAUCUAUAUAGACAAUGUCUCAGCAAUUGAAUUUGUCAAGAAUCAUGCCUUCCAUAAUCGCUCAAAACAUAUAAAGAUAUGUUACCACUAUGUGAUAAACUGUGUUGAAGAUGACAAAAUUGAAGUUCUUCAUGUCAUGACUGAUGAACGACAAGUAAACAUUCUCACGAAGUCAUUUGGAAGGGCUCAAUUCACAUCUUUUUGUUCCCUUUCAGGUGUCAUUGACCUUGGUGAUCUAACACAAGCUUAAGGAUGAGAUUGUUGGAGUUAAUCUCGGUGGAUCAACAAAGGAGGAAGGUGUUCGACGUUUGUCCAGCUCAAGCCAGCGAUUUUUCUUUCUAUUUCUGGAUUUUUAAAUGUUUUUAAACGCUUUGAUGUCAUUUAAUCACGGCCGUUGAUUUCUUUAGUUAUAAUGGCCGUGAUCAUGCCAUGUAGGCAUUUAUGAGCGGGUAACGGUGACAACGGCUUUAAUGACGUAACUGUUCAACCCAAGUCCUAUAAGAGGACUGGUCCGGUGUUAUUUCCAGGGUGUGUGAUUUUCUCCUUUGCUGGAAUAUGAUUUGGGCGUUUUUUGUUUCUCCAACAUUUCUCGUGAUUCACUUUUGUGCUACAAAGGAUCGUAAGGUUAGAUCCUACAGAAGAAACGAGGUGAGGGAGGACGGGAAGAGAUGCAGAAGAAGCGAGUGGGAGAACGGGAAGAGCUGAAGAAGAAACGAGGGGGGGAGGGCAGGAAGAGAUGCAGAAGAAGCGAGAGGGGUGGCGGGAAGAGGUGCAGAAGAAGCGAGAAGACGGGAAGAGAUGCAGAAGAAGCGAGAGGGGUGACGGGAAAAGGUGCAGAAGAAGCGAGAGGACGGGAAGAGCAGCAGAAGAAGCGAGAGGGAGGAUAGGAAGAGGUGCAGAAGAAGACGAGGAGAGGGAGGACGGGAAGAGAUGCAGAAGACGCGAGAGGGAGGAGGGGAAUAUUUGCAGAAAGGAGAGGAAAGACGGGAAGAGAUGCAAAAAGGAUGGCGAGACGAUAGUAGGUGUAUAAGGGAGAGGACGGGAAGAGGUGCAUGAGAGAGAGGACAGAAAGAGAAAGACGAGAUAGAGAUCGAGGCCUCCCACACCGUGCGGAGACCUCUCGCUGAGACUCUCUCCGUGCUGACGGCUUGGGGCACACCUCGAAUGAAAACUGUGCGUCACUAACCUUAAACUUUUGGAUCGGAACAUUUCAGUACUCCUUACAUGUCACACUUAAAAUUCAUGCCUAAUAUUAAGGCUAAAAAGGUUUAACUUAACUUUGGGGAAAACUCAUUAAUACCUCGGAAUUUUAGAUAAUGAGCACGACUCAAGUGGUCGAGUGUUGCUCCUCCAGCCACAGGGUUGAAAGGAUGGUUUUUCCUCGAAGAAGAUGGUGAUGAGUGAUGCCAUGCCACAGUUGUUCUUUCUGUGCCCACUUGGUAGCCUCUUAGUCAUCCUAUAACUAAAUCUAACAGACCUAGAAUGGUACAAUAUCGACCAUAGCUAGCUAAGAGUCAAACCCAUUUCGCCUAGAGCAUAAUGAUAGCAGUCAGUUAUCUAGAGGUAGAUCUGUGAAUUCAGAGUGUGAGCUUCUAGACGUUGUGUAACUCAACGAGUAAGCUUGUUCUUAUGAUAUAGGAAUAAAAAACAAACCAUAUUAAAUGAAAUUCUAUAUUAGAGUGGUAAAAUGUCUAUUCGCCCUCCUCUAGACAUAUUUUUGCAGAAAAUUUCCGCCUGCCGAUAUUGAGGAGACGCAGACCAACAGCAUAACCUUGUUUCUUAUCGUGGCCAUUGAGAGUAUAGCCCUUCCUCUUCUCCCUUUGGCUGGCUGGAGUAUGGCUUGGAAUAUCUCAGGAGCGUGUCCUGCUGGAAGCACGCCCACAGCAGCAUCCCUCUUAUUCUCGUUUUCUUUGUAGCUGGUCUGAGGACUGGUGACACCUUUCUGGAGGCACUUUCAAAUCAGCACGUCGUUUCUUCUCAUGGUUGCUAGGAUGACAGCCCUCCUCUAUUUUCCAUCUUGGACAUCAAGAAAUGACUAUAUUCUAGCUUUCCCUAGAAGUACACAUCACGUAAUUCUUUUCAAACAUGGUCUUGAUACAUGAAAAAUUAAAAUUUUACUCCAUGGUGCUAUUUCACCAAAAUCAUUAAGAUAAUGUUUACAAUAAAGGUUAUUUGAAAUAAAGAUAAAAAUAUGAGUGCAACUAGAUGAAUGAAUAAUAAGGUCCCUUGACAAUCCAAUGUUUCAACUAGCAUAUCUUGUGCAUGACAAUUGAUAUCGAACCCAACCUAUCAUAGCUAAAAUUAAAACUCUCUAAUGAUUAGAUUGAAACAACUAAUCUUAGAAGAAUGUUAACUAAAGGGAAAUUUACCAAUAAACAUUCUUGAUUGUGCCUUAUAUGCAAACGAGUUCAAAAUGUACCUGUAAAAGUGCUAAGGAGAUUUACAACGAAGAAGAAGCUACAUAUGAAGCAACAUCAUAUUAAAAAGGUUAAAAAAUUAUUUUUAGCUCAUAAAUAUGAAUUCAAGUGCAUGCCUGAAAAUUAAUGCCAUGUAGAAAAAUUUAUUGGCUUAAUAAAAAUUGAUAAAAAUGUGAUAAUUCUUAGAAAAAAACAUUAAAAUCUAAGAAAAUUUAAAAUAUAUUUAUUUACAGCAUAAAUGGAAACCAAAUGUAAAAAAUAUUGUGGCAGAAAUUUUUUUAAAUAAAUCAUGUAUUUAAGAAAUACUUAUUCCUGAAAGACAUACUAUCCAACUAUAAAAUUAUAAAUUAAAUUUGUGUAAGAGAAUUUUUAGUGGUUAUAAAGUCUUUAAUAAUUCUGAAAAGUCUGAUUACAAUUCAAAUGUUGGUGAAAAAAAUUUUCUACUUUGUAUAAGAUUCAAAUAAUUUUUAAUGAUAAAAGAAGUAGAAAAAAAACACCCUUCCAACGUAGGCUAAAUAGGGUGCUAAGAGGAUGGGAGAUGGUGAAUUAGUUUUUCAAAUAUUUAUUCAAUUAUAUUGAGAUUUUAACCAUUUUUCAUGACCUAUGCUUUGUUGGUUGACAUAUGUUAGGUCAACUCAUUGAGUUGGAAGACUAUUCAACAAUUAGAAAAAGAUAUGCUUUCUUAUAGUGGUUUGGUCUCCUCAAUCCUAUAUCAACUUAUCAAAGGAUAUUAGCCUUGGUUUCUACUAUCAUCUCUAAGAGAAUGAUAUUUAAAAUUUAUCAAAUUAUUGGAACUCCUAAUGCAAUAGAUUUACGACCCUAUCUCCCAACAGUAGACAUCAAAACACUAGUUUGCAUUUUCACUUGUUAAUAGCACUUCCUAUAAUGCCUUCUCUUGUAUGAAUUGUGAUAUAAUACUUACAAAUGAGUCUUGUAGAUGUGCGAAUGUGCUUCAUUUGGUAGAUUUGGGAUGCUUAAGAAAGCAUAGGUGUAGCCGCACUUGCACUAGAAAGAGAAUACUUAUUUUUAGUUCAGCUGAUAGAAUUGAUGUAGUGCUUAGGUAUAACUUAAAAUGACUUAAGAGUAGCUAUUUAUAGAGCUCAAACUCAAUAAUCUGAAUGAUUAAGAUUUGAUAGGUAAAAAGUAUUAUGGGUUCAUGCCUAUCUCAACAUAUAGAAAAACCUAUGUAUUCAACAUUCUCAAUUGACUAGCUUAUGACUAGGACAUUCUAAAAAUGUGUUAGCAAGAGAUUUUUAAUCUUUUUUCAUAUUUUGACAUCUUAGGGUUUGAUGCAGAUGGUUAGAGAUUCUCCAUCAUAUGUCAUUAUAAUACGAGUUGUCUGAUGUGUUGGAUCACAAAGAGAAUCUUUAUUUUUUUACUCUCAUCUGUUCUACUUGUUAGUUGUUGGGACUUCAUGUGUCUCAGCAUUUUACAUCUUUUACAACAAGGUUGUCUCACCUCAAUUUGAUCUUGUGACAACUGUGCAGACUCAUUAAAUCAACUUAUCUAGGCUGACCCAUGGGUGAACCCACUGGGGGCCUUGAGGCAGCUAUUUCUCUUUAAAAUAUUUUUUUUCCUUCUAUUCAACUUUUUUCUUUUGUAUCUUUUCCUCAAUUAUUCUUUCUACUAUUUUAUGCAAAUAACACAUAAUAAAAAAUGGAUGAUGAAACAAUUGAGAUGUAGAGGAGUGAAGACCUAGUCCAACUCAUGAUUUCACUCACUUUUAGUGGAGCUUUUUCUAGCCAAGUCAGUUAGAUUAUCUACUUGAAGCAUUAUUAUUGUCAAGAAGAGUUUUAAAUUUUUUUAAUAUAAGGAGUCUUUGACUUUAUUGUAGAAAUCAUAAGAAAUCAUAGUUGACAUUUCAUUCCAAGAAGUUAUGUUGCAUAGUAGCAUACUUUACCAAGGUAGUUUAUAUAACAAGAUUUGUGGUGAAAGAAUAAGCUAUAUCAAGAUAAAUAAUUUAGUAGUUCAAAUUUAUUGUGCAUAACAUAAGUAUUAAGCACUAGAAGGUACAUAAAUAACAUGGCAUAUCAAAUCCAAUAUGCACUGCAUAUAAAUACAUUGUGCAAUAAAAAAGUAUUUUAAGCUUAAUUUUGAAAUAUAUCAGAAGUUUGAUUCCAUAAUAAAUAAACAUCUAAGUCAAUAUGUUAGUAUAUAUAGAAUAUGUUGUCCACUAAUGGAGUACAUCAGGGUCAAUAUCCUAAUAAAUUUAAAAUAUAUGAGAAUUAUGUGGUGAAACAACAUAAUAUAUCAAGCAUAACAUCUUCGUAAAUGAAAUCAUGGUUACUUUUCGAACAACAUGAAUUGUGUCCAUAUGGAAUGCUGAAAAUUUGAUGAAAUAGAGCAAGCCUUCUAUAAAUAACAAGGAAAAUCAAAUUUCAUGGAUGUGAGAGAAGUAAAACGUAGAAAAAAAGACAAUAAAAAACUCAAUUAAUAGCUUAAGUGAAGAAAUUUGAGAAGAGUUUUGCAGCUUGGCAAUAAUUCGUCAUUCAUAGGGAGUCAACUGACCUAAAUUGUAGGGUUCCUCAUCUAUUGCAUCCAGUCAGCUUCUAACAUCACACUACGGAAAAGAUGACUAAUUCGAGUCUGAACCAACUAUCGACAGGAUUUCAGGAUCUUACAACCUUCAAAAAAGCAUGUUGAUACGUGCAUGUUUGCUUCUCAAAAUAGAAACAAUGCCACUAUGAGUCAUGAACUUUUUUCUUGCAUUUAAACUACUGGCUUUCAGUGCCAUUUGAAAAGACAUUAAUGAUUGACUUAGUUUUGGGCGAUGAAUGAAUAAUAUUCACCUUGAGUUGGCGUACCUUUUGAUAGAAUAUCCCUUGUUAAGAAAUCCCAACUCCAUUAUGUUGACAAACAUAUCGUUGCCAAAAGCCCAAUCAUUUUUUCAGAUCCACGUGCACAAGAAAAUGUAAACUGGAUAUGAAUGGGCAAACACUCCAGUGUUCUUAACCAAGGUAUAGAUGAGGAGUCAACCCACAUCGAAUAAUUAUUUCUGAGAGUCAUUUGUCAUCGGGGAAAAUCUUACUUUGAAGCUAACCUACGUUCAUCCAGUGGGGCCUAACACAACAAAAAUGUCACGGCACCUUUAUCUAGAGCGGUAAACACUUCUACUGUGUUGGUAUGCCAACCAUGACGACAAUCUCUCAUGGAACGUCUGAAGAGUUUCUAGAGCUGAAUAUUGAACCCAUUUGAUACAGAUGUCUCCGAGAAGGAAAUCAUCUAGAAGGCUCUCUGUUAGUUUUCUACGUGAUCCCUUGCCUAAUACGCAACAUUGCCAUGUCUCUCUUUCCUGAGAUAACAAAAGUCUCUGGAGUUCUCACCACUUAACCUUAAGAGGAUAGGGUUGACUCCCAAGUGACCGUUGUGUCCAGUCCUGGAAGGCUAAAGAACCUACCCAAUCUGCUAUUCGCAACGCUACCUUGGGGCAUAACUAUAGGCAAGAACAUUGCAAAGGCAUAGGCUUGUUCAUCGAGACAUAAUGCUGCGAAAAACUUCGGGAAAGGCAGAAGAGGGAGAUUAACAAUAUGAAUGGGGCCAAACGUCUCAGACAGCUACGCCUUGCUGUCUUCAGAAACAUAUAGAAUUUAAAUAUAUCAAAUUGUAAUCAUCUGGUGUUAUUGCACUUAUUCCCGUUUUGACAGGAAUGGAUCUUCGUAGCAAAACUUCCUCAUCAAAUAAAGCCUGGAUUAUGUCUGAUCAUUCACCUGUUACCACCCAGCUAAUCCCAAAUAAAGAGAUUAUUAAAUAAAACAAAUACGUAGGAAAUUCGUCAUAGUAUGAUACAUGUGAAGGGGUGUAGGCAGUCAAAUCUUCCUCAAAGCAAGCCCUUUCAGAAGUCAUGUAAAGUAAAAGCCUUCCUGUGAUAGAAGCUGUAACUAGGGAUUGUAAGUUUGGAAUGUCUUAUACUGAAUUAAUAGACGUAGCAUUCAUAAAAUAUCAGAAUGUUCACCCAUGAGUAUGAUCGAACGGGUUACGAUAUCAAUCCCAUCUUUAAAAUGUGACUAUUCCAAGACGUCACUGACCAAGAGAAGAAGGAGAGCUGUGAAGAUCAGGUCCAACCGGAUUGAUGGAACGGGAUCAAUGCAUGCGGAGUCGCCUCUAAGGUGGCUACACUGGUUGCCGCUGCGUUCCUCCCCACCCCGUCCUUUUAUUAUGCUCCGUUUUUAUGGGCAACAAGAGCAGCCUUACAAGCAAGAUUUCUAAACAUGAAAGUUUUGCCGACGUAAGGUCCAAACGCGAAGCCGGGAAGAACGGUAGAGAGAUAUCAUUUAAUUAUCCUCCGAAGGGAGAAGCAUGGGAUGUGUGCGGCAUAAAUCACAAGUACGUACCUGUUUCGCCCAACCUAUAUCCUUGUUAGAGUCUCUUUCCUCUCCUCAGCGCUUCACGCGCACAGUAUCACUUUCUCCCCAUUUCUCUCUGACGCAAACACAGUCAUAUUUUGUCGCAGGCUUUCUCUUUCCCUCACACAUAUGCAUAGACUCCAGGUCUCAUGAGGCCUCCAACUAAGUACGACAUCUGUAACACCGGCAUAGAACGCGGAAGAGAGAUGGACGAGAAAGCGCUAAAGGAAGCUGCUGCAUGGCGGACACGUUUGGCUGAACCGAGAGGGGCACUCAAUGGUCAUUAUGUCCAUCACCAGAAAAAGCCCACAGAUGUCAACAGAUAUAGAACCAGAAAGAGAUCCAAGUGUGAAGUGAAGAACGAUAUCCAAGGAGCUCCAUGAUGGAGAUGCUCUUUCAUUCGAAUUUCACCUCUCGUGAGAGUUCUCUUUGUACUUGUUUCGCUCAUGUGUACUCGCACGGGAUCGUCGAUUCGAUUCAGAACGGCGAUAUAAGAGACGAAGUCUUCUGAGAUAUGGGAAAAAUUUCUGAGGCCGUUACCAAAGAUUCGACCCCUUCGAUCCCCAAGAAAGUCAUUGUAUCUUAGUCUGAGACGUACCAGUACCAUCCACAGAGUCGCAGUAAAAGCAAUGCUCCAAUCAACCAUCAGUCCAUCAAAUUCAGUUAGAAUGUAGUCCAUUCGAGCAUCCUAAGAUAAUCUCCAUUUGUCCACACCCCAUCAAAAUAUGAAGACCAAACAUCAUCGGACGGGGAAGAACUCAGCGGUACUCAACAAAGGAUUAAAGAAAAUAGUAAGAAAGAAUUGAAUGGCCUAAAACCCUAAUCACGUUCCUCAGCCAUUAGGGCUCAACUCCCAAUAUGCAACUUAUGCUUCGAUGUCGUUGAGAGAGAGAAAGAGAGGGAGAGAUGGAGAGAGAGAGAGAGAGAGAGAGAGAUNNNNNNNNNNNNNNNNNNNNNNNNNNNNNNNNNNNNNNNNNNNNNNNNNNNNNNNNNNNNNNNNNNNNNNNNNNNNNNNNNNNNNNNNNNNNNNNNNNNNNNNNNNNNNNNNNNNNNNNNNNNNNNNNNNNNNNNNNNNNNNNNNNNNNNNNNNNNNNNNNNNNNNNNNNNNNNNNNNNNNNNNNNNNNNNNNNNNNNNNNNNNNNNNNNNNNNNNNNNNNNNNNNNNNNNNNNNNNNNNNNNNNNNNNNNNNNNNNNNNNNNNNNNNNNNNNNNNNNNNNNNNNNNNNNNNNNNNNNNNNNNNNNNNNNNNNNNNNNNNNNNNNNNNNNNNNNNNNNNNNNNNNNNNNNNNNNNNNNNNNNNNNNNNNNNNNNNNNNNNNNNNNNNNNNNNNNNNNNNNNNNNNNNNNNNNNNNNNNNNNNNNNNNNNNNNNNNNNNNNNNNNNNNNNNNNNNNNNNNNNNNNNNNNNNNNNNNNNNNNNNNNNNNNNNNNNNNNNNNNNNNNNNNNNNNNNNNNNNNNNNNNNNNNNNNNNNNNNNNNNNNNNNNNNNNNNNNNNNNNNNNNNNNNNNNNNNNNNNNNNNNNNNNNNNNNNNNNNNNNNNNNNNNNNNNNNNNNNNNNNNNNNNNNNNNNNNNNNNNNNNNNNNNNNNNNNNNNNNNNNNNNNNNNNNNNNNNNNNNNNNNNNNNNNNNNNNNNNNNNNNNNNNNNNNNNNNNNNNNNNNNNNNNNNNNNNNNNNNNNNNNNNNNNNNNNNNNNNNNNNNNNNNNNNNNNNNNNNNNNNNNNNNNNNNNNNNNNNNNNNNNNNNNNNNNNNNNNNNNNNNNNNNNNNNNNNNNNNNNNNNNNNNNNNNNNNNNNNNNNNNNNNNNNNNNNNNNNNNNNNNNNNNNNNNNNNNNNNNNNNNNNNNNNNNNNNNNNNNNNNNNNNNNNNNNNNNNNNNNNNNNNNNNNNNNNNNNNNNNNNNNNNNNNNNNNNNNNNNNNNNNNNNNNNNNNNNNNNNNNNNNNNNNNNNNNNNNNNNNNNNNNNNNNNNNNNNNNNNNNNNNNNNNNNNNNNNNNNNNNNNNNNNNNNNNNNNNNNNNNNNNNNNNNNNNNNNNUCUCUCUCUCCAUCUCUCUCUCUCUCUCUCUCUCUCUCUUUCUUGAUGUCGCUCGGCGGAAUAAUUAUCGAGUCGAGAAGGAAAGGAAUACGAAGGACGCCCGGAGGGGGGGGGGAGCGAAGUCGAAGAUAAGAGCUUGGACGAAUGUGGACAGCAUCAGUUCACACACCGCCUCCUUCAGGGGGGGAAAUUUUGGAAGUGACUUCUCCCGUCGUCUGCUAAGGACGAUUAUUAAUAAAAUAUUUUUAGUAAAAAAAUAUAUUUUCUACAAGCUAUGUCUCUCUUUCGCCGCCCUACCACUCCGGCUUGUCGGAUAACCCUCUUAAGUCACUUCGAGUGAGCUGGGUCAGGUAGGAAACCGAACCCAAUGCCCAAUUACCUUUUACUAAAUGAUAAAAAGGAUUCUGCGCUUUUUCAUCCCAAAUAAUGUUUCAGCUUUGCCUUAUUUAGAAAUUAUUUUUAAAACAUAUUACAUAAUCUGUCGGACGUAAUUACUCAGAACUAUGCUAACAGCUCGUGGGAUGAUCAGAACCAAGACAUUUGCCUUUCGUUUCCAUAAUUACUUACGACUCACAUUAAGGAAAUAUACACUCGCAGGGUUCCCUGAAAAUGUAAGAGAAAAUGCCUUGAAAAGGAGAAAACUUGAAAAUGCAACACGAUUAGAGAGUCAUUAAAAUAAUUAGUUGAAGCAUUUGUCCGAUUAUUAUGCAGCUGUUCCCAUGGAACAAUUUUUCUCGAUAACGGAGACUAUUCCGAUUAAUCAGUUUAAAAUGAGCUCGUUUCCGUAUCUCCUCCUGCAAUAUCCAGGGGAACUUAACAAAGUGGCAACGGAGGACGGGGCGGUAGGAAAUUAAUUAGUUCUCUUCUAAAGGAGUGCGGAGUACGGGGCUUAUUGAAUGAAUUGAUAACGUUAGUUGCAGCUUCACUCAGACGUCAAACCCAGUUGUGAUUGGACAUCUCUCUCUCUCUCUCUCUCCUCUCUCUCUUUCUCACUCUCUACUGUAGUCGAUCGGAGUGAGUGUGCACUCAUAUAGUUUUCAGGUUCUUUUCAAGAAAUAUAAAGCGUAUCCAGUUCCGAUGCUCGUUGACCGUUCUGACAGUCCGGAGCCCCCCCCCCUCUCGAAGUCUUCCUCUUCUCCUCUCGCGAUUAAUGUCUCUCCCGUCUGUCACAGAGAUGAGAGAGAGAGAGACAGGAGGAGAAGGAGAGACAGGAGACUGGCUCAUUGAAUCUCUCGGGUUGCUUCUUCAAAGAAAAACAGCGAGGUGGUGCACAACAGAAAGAGAGCGACUCUUUGAGAUCUUGUCGAUACAAGGACACAAAAACUAUAAUAUGGAGACCCUGGAAAGUUACUACGAUAUAGAUUUAUUAACAGAGAGGAAGAGAGUAAGAGCUAGAGAGAGACGGCCCAGACCUGGGCAGUUGCGUAGGUUCCGUAGGGCUGAAAACGAUAACACAAAAGAUGAGGAGCUCGCUGAGUUCACGAUCUCUGUCUACUUUUCACAAUGGCUUUGCGUUCGCUAUCCCGUACAUACGGGAAGCAUCAAACUGCUCACCUCCACGCAAAAUACCCUCUUAGCUCCACUGGAAAGUUUUAGUGGCCUCACUUGGGACCCCGGUAGAAAUUAACAGCUUUCACUACGAAGAAAGAGAGAGAAAGAGAUAGAGAGAGGAGGAUGUCUUAAAUCACUGUUUGCGAUUAAUAAAUGCGGCUUUCAGCUGCCGGGAUGAGCGACGAAAAGAAGACCAUUUUUACAGUAAUAUCUCUGAAACCGGACUUCGCUUCUGCAUAGGUGAAAAGGAGAACACAGAGAGAUAUGAUAGAUUAGAUAGAGGAGAGAUCCGGAAGAGAGAGAGAGAGAGGGAAAGAGAGGGGACCAGAGUGGCUGAUUACGUUCAGAGUGUAGGAUAGAGGAAAAAGACGAAGAACACAACCGAGCGAGGAUAGGGGAUUGUGGCUGAUUACGUCCAGAGAGGCGGAUAGAGGAAAAAGACGAAGAACACAAGCUAGAGAGAAUAGGAGGCUGAGGUCUCAACACUGUGCAGAGUGUAACUGCAGCAGUGGGUGCCUAUCCUGGUCCACUGCCGCUUUUGCUGUGGACUGGCCUAUGCAUGCAGCCAUAACCGCAGAGAAGCUGCAAUUGCACCUGCGGUACACGCUAUCCAGAUUCAACCACGCCAGCGAACUGGAAGGAACCCUAUCAUCUUUUUACCACUCCCUCUCUAUCUUCACGCCCGCACUUCCCGUCCAGUCCCAUUCCACCCUGUCUUUCCUCUGCUAGUGCACAAUAGAAAAGUGCUGGCGCUGCCAGGAAAGAGGAGAAAGAUAUAGAGAUGGAGAGGGGAAAAUGGGCAUGAUGUUGACAAGACGAAAAAAGUUCGGCAGACUGCGAUUUCUAUUUCUAUUCUUUACAAACCUUCUCUCUCACCCUUUACUUUCCCUCUCUCACCGCCCUUGAAUUUCUCUCUCAUCAUUAAGCUCAGUGUUGGGUACAAAUUCUGUAACUCUCUACCUAUCAAGAAAAAGAUCCACGACUUGUCAGUCUGAAAACCAGUGAAUUCAAAUUUGAAUCACAAGGGACUGUGCAAACAUGUUGAUGGGCGCACGUGUGGACUGCACGGGGUAUGGUACAAGACGAAGUAGGCUAAUGGUCAUCAUGGCCAUCUGGUCUGGUCCCUCGCCUAGCUGUACCCCUCACUGUUUUUCUCAUGCGAAUAUGCAUUUAUCUGUGUUCGUGUCAGCCGGUCGGACCACCAGUAGCCAACUCAGUUAUGGCCCACACUGUUUGUCAAAACCAUUCCCAAUUCAUUGGGUUUGAAAACAGGCUUCAAGUCCCAAUGGAGCUAAACACUUGCUCAAUCCAACCAGAGAACCGGUUGGCGCAUUGAAAUAGUUCGUCUUUUCACAUCUUGAUCUAGUUAUAUAAAUAGGCUCUUUUGGCGUAAUUACACAAAAUAGGCCACAUUAUUCAUAGCAGCAAGUCAAACAUGAGAAGUUGAUUUCGGUGGCAAAAAAGCCUUUUCAAAGUAAAAGAAAUAAUCUCUAUAAACAAGAAGUUAGUGAAUCCAAGAGAACUAAAAACUGAAGCUGCAAAAAUAUUUCCAAAUAGGAAUCUAGCCUGGACAACACAGUGAAAAUGGUCAAUUGGAUUCAAUAUCGUUUGACUUCAGAUCUUGUGAUGUGCAUACUUCUUAUACUAGCAAUUAUGUUAGGAACUUAGACCCUUCUACCCAUCCAUUGAGUUUACACUCCCAUUGAGAGCCCAGGUAACCUGAAGAACUACUAAUACCUUAGAAUAGACCUAAAAAUAUGAUACAACAGCCAUAGGCAAAUAAUAGAAGAUAUUCAAUAAACACAAAGAUAAAGGAAUCUUAAUGUUUAGCAAACAUUUGAAUUGAAAGCUUUGUGGUUUCAGUAGGCAACUUAAUUUAUGAAUUCUAGAAUUAUGUAUAGUGCCAUUGAAGAGACAUGUUAUGUAGAAUCGAAAAGUGUGUUUUGCAUGUGGGUUUGAAAGGAAAUUGAGAUGUAUAGUAUAUUAGACCCUUAAAGUAAGUGGAGUAAUAAUUAUUUAAGACAUUAUCUAGUAGGAUGGAGACAAAAUAGUUUGAGUGAUUUCUGAUCAGCAUUUGGGUCAUAUUUUAGUAAGAAGAAGAGUGAUUUAUAGUGUCAACAUCUAUUUAGUAGAUAGCCUAAUUGCUAUGUAGGAGUUCUGAUCUUCAAGGUGACUAAUACCUGUUAAAGGACAAUGGAGUUCUGAUGCUAGUGAAUGCAAGCUCUGGCCUAAGCCACUCUACAUCUAUUUCGAUGUCUUGAUUUGGAUGAAAAUUUCUAUAUCUUUCUACAUAUGUUCACUUUGCAUCUAUUUCUACAUCUUUAUGUGGAAGAAACUUUCUAUAUCUUUUUACAUAAGCACAUUUACAUCUACUUCUGUCUUUGUGGAUGAAACUUUCUAAAACUUUCUACAUAUGCAUAUUUGCAUUGUUAUUUGAUGAAAUUUUUUUAUUUAUAUAUUCAAUGUUAUGUGGCUCUCAUAAUUCAUCUAUAUUAGUAGUAAAUUUUCAUCCACAUCUGAUUAUAAAAUCACAAAAAAACCUUAGUAGAAUAGUACAAAAAAAUCAACAAGCUCAAUUUAGAGAUUUCUAGAAAAAGCCUACUUACCUCUUCUUUAGACACAUUUUGAUAGUUAUCCAGUCCUUUGUCAUACUUCAUAAGGUGUAUAUCCAUUGUAAAAAGUCCUCACUCCUCCCAAUGCUUAGAUAAUAGAGAUCAUCUCACUUUUUUCUAUUGCAUAUAUUGUUGAUGCCCUUGGACAUUGUUUUGAUAUUGCAAAUAUGAGAAAUUUAUUCAUUAACUUAUGAUAUUUUUGAUAAGCUUAUAAUGAUUAUUGAAUAUUUUUUAAAAUUAAUUUAAUGCAAUCACUUAUUAUUUAUCUUUUGAGAUUAUAAUUAAUCAUUAAAUAUAAUGGAUUUAUCCUUUAUAUUAAAAUAUUUUGAUGAAUAAAUGAAGUAAAAUAUUUAUUGAAAUAGAUAUUAAUGAGAAAAAAUAUUCAAAUGGUAAAUGAGAAAAGGUAAAUUAAGGAGAUUAUUCUGAUUCAUUUAUCCAUAACACCUAACCCUUUAAGUGCAACAUUUAAAUUGUGCCAAAUUUAUCAUAAAAAGAAAUAGAAAAAGGUUCAAAAAAUAACUAGGACUUUUGUGAGUUUUGAAUUUGGAAAUUAGAUGGUGACAUGCCAACUAUAAAUGAUUAACUUAACAGUCAUAUUUAUAGUUAACAUCAACAAUAAAAUCAUUUGUUCGUGAGAGAUAAAUUUAUAAUUUAAGUUUAGAUCAAUUGGAAGAACUAAUAAGCUACAAACUUUGAGUCAGUCAAAGGUCAUUAUUGCAUAAUUCGAUGAAUUUUAAGAAUUAAAAUGACUUUGUGGAUUAUAUCUAACCCUUUCAAAGUAAGAAACUAUUGGAGACCAAUAUCUUAUAAGUAAGAUAAGCUUUAAAAUAAGUAUGUAGUACUCUACAAUCUUCUACAUCAAUCUAUCAUCUUCUCAUGAUUAAGGCAAAUCUACCUUAAACUUCAACAGUGCACAAACUACUUCAUCAAUUCUACAUGCGAUAUUGGUGAAUAAUAAGACCUUUAAAUCUUUUAAUCACAUUAUCUAUUAGGCCAAAAGGUAAUUUAGUGGUGAGAGGAGAUGUUUGAGCAAAAGCAUGAAGUGCUUUGUGUUUGGUUUAACAUGUCAAAAGUGUGACUUAUAUAGAAAUUAGAUUUAUGUGUUUGAGCUGCUAAUCCUGUGAAAGCUAGCAUGUAUUUUUGGGAGAACUAGUAAAAUUAUAAAGGAAUAAUCUUCUAGAACUAGAACUAAAAAAAUGAAAGAAAAUUUAGUAUAAAAAUAUUAUCUUUUUCAUAAUAGAGAAAUAACUUACUAAAUCAGUGAGAGAAAUAACUUGUAUAGAGAUAGAGAUGAAAAAUCUUGUUAGAAUGUGUGCUAACAUAUUCACCUACAAAAAAAAAAAAUGAAGUGAUAAAAAAUUGUGGAAAAACUAAUUUACCCCUCCCCCUCUUGGUAUUUCACCUAGCCGAUUUGUUCUUACAUCUAUACUUAAUAAAUGUAAAACAAAGGUUUCACACCUAAGAUACAUGGGCUUAUCUUUGUCAUUUCUAAGUUACACUUUGGUGGUAAGCAUUUUAUGCAUGCCUGAAGUAUCAUCACUUCUAGUUCAAGAAGCUACAUCAUAUUUAAAAUAGGCAUCUAUGGAUGCAAAAUAGCUUUUUUUAAAAUAUAGUAAAAAUUGAUAAAUAAAUCAAAUUGUUUAUGAUUACAUAAUAACUAUAUCUUUAAUACAAGUUUAGACUGAUUGCGUAAAUUAAUGUUAACCUAGUGAAUAAGUUAUAAAAUAGUGGGCACUAAUAAAAUCUAAGUUAUUAAUGUCUUACUUGUCAAACUAUACUGGUAACUAAGUAGAAAAUAAAUUAUUAGAUAAGUAUAAUAUGUCAUAAAUAUAUGUUGACAUGGUAUUAAUAAUUUCAUGAAUGUAUCACCAAGCCACCAACAUUGACAUAUUGAGCUUAAAAUAGAGACAAUGUACAAUACAGUAAAAAAUAAUUUCACAUUUUAUGAAACAAAAAUAUACAUAGACUUCACCUUGCAUGAAGUGAAAGUGUUUAACAAUCCAAUAGCAUAUAUUGAGAGAUCUUGUUUACAAUAGAAAGUUCAACAUAUUUGCAGGGGAGUGGUGCACAAGCAAGAGGAUUGACAAAUGAGUGUUGAUGCAAUGUAAAAGGUGGGUCAAAACAUAGAUGGUUACAUUCAAGCACAUGCAAGUGCAUUAAUUAAUGCAAGUGUUGGGUUAUGCAAGUAGGAUGAGCAGAAACUUGAGUACAGACAAAAGAAAGAUGAGUUUAAAUGUAAUAAUAGAUUAGGGAAUCACAAUUAGGCAAUCCAAGUUGACAUUGAAUGAACAAAAAUUUAUGAGAAUAGGAUAGGUACAAAUGUAGGUACACAAUAGAAAAUGAGUAUGAGGUCAGUGGUUUUUGAUCCCUCUGACCUCGUUCUUGAUCCCCUCUUUUAGCUUCUAGGGUCUAUUUCUUAGUUCACAUGUGGCUACGAACCACAGUGUCGGGGGUUCGUAGAAGGUAUUGCAAGACAGCCAGAAGUAGAGGGUAAAAUACAUCACUCGAGUCACUUUUUUGAGAAAUACGCAAUCCAAGGACACAUACCCAAAUGGAAACUUAGUUUCCACUCACGACCCAUGUAGCUGAAAGGAACAUCGGCUCUCACAAUUCCAUCAUCCCCGUGUUCCUCGAAUGGGUCUCUUGAGAUGAGAAAAAGACUCUCUUCCUAUUGUUUAAAAGGUUUUUCUUUCCCUUCUUUUUUUAGUAUUUAACAAUAUGAUAUCAUGUGUCAUUCCAAUAUUAAGUAGUAAGCAUCAAAUGAAUAGAUUUUGUUCUUUUAAUAUAAUGCAAUCUCUCUUUUUACUUUUUUGAUUAGCUAGUGAUUCUUCUAUUGAUGCAUUCUCUCAUUGACCUCAAACUAUUUCAUAAUUUAGAAGUGUAGGUGUAUAUGCUAUCAUGCUUAUUUGUAUUAUUGCCAACACAAUAUGCUAAUAGAUUUAAGUUCACAUGAUGAUAUAUGAAGUUUAGUGUAAUAUAUCAGUCAACCUUAUAAAUGAUCAUGUGUUGACAUAGUCACUUUGAUGGACACUACUAUAUUAAGCUUUAUAUGUUCUAUUGUUCUACUACAUCACUCUUUAUAUAUUAGCAUGUUAACUUUGGUGAAUUGUACUAUUUUAUGUCAUAAACCAUAAAAAAUUAGUGCUUAAACUCUCUUACCUAAUCUAUUUGUCUAAAGUCAUUUAGACAAAUAUUGCCUAUUUCAUUUUAUUAGUUAAAAUAAAAUAAAAUCAUUAAAUAUUGAGUCAUGUGCUUGACUCUUUAACAAAAUUAUCACUAUGCAUAUAUCAAUUCCUAAGCAUUUUGUGUUUUUUCGGUGUUCUAGAUAAUGGGUUUAGAAAUAUUCUCAUUACACUCAUAACUUAGUUUUUAAUGAUAGAGACCUAUUACCACAAACUUGUAUAAUAAGGGAAAUAUAAAGAGACUAUACACAUCUUAUGAAAGUUUCCUUUAUUAGAAUUUUCAUGUUAUAUUGACCAUAAAAUUUUAUAAGAUGAUGUAGUAGAUACAUUUUAAUUCAUGGAUAGUCCAAAAAAUUAUGUCAUUUUUCAUAGAAAAUUGUUACCUUUAAAUAUUCAAUAUUUUUAUUUUAAAUAAAUAUCAAAAACUAGUUUUGAUGCCUCAUAUGGCUGGAAAAUGGACACCUUCCAAUACCAAUAUAGGGACAUGAAAUUAAAUAACUAGUUCUCUUGUGCUUUGAACUAUUUCUUAUUCAAAUGUUUUUUCAUUAUAAGCUUAAUUGAAAGGUAAUUUUCUUUGAUUUCAAUUUCAUUUAUUAAAAGAUGUGGAGUAAAGAUAACUAUUUGAUUCUUGUUUGUUGUUGGACCUCUUCACAAGGUUAGUAUAACAUCUACUAUCAUUUUAAUGUAAUACAAUAUUUUUAUAUCCUAAUGUAAAAUGAGAAUUGCACCUAUGUUCUAUUAUUUUAAGAUCAUAAUUAAAUUGAAUAUGAGGUUAAAAACUAAUUCAUAGAGUUUCAAAAAUGACAUUGUGGCCUUUAAUGAUGAAAAUGAAUGAUGAAAGGUUAUCCUAAUACCAUCAAUAAAUAAAAGUUUCACACCCUUUAAGACAUGGGCUUCAUAUCUUUAUAUUCAUAACUAUUCCAAAUUGUUAAUGCAAAAGAUAAAAUGAGAAGUUAUUAAUUUUUACAAUGUUUACCAUAAGAUUUACACUUCAAGUAUAGGUGGUCUCUAAUUUAUCUUAAAAAAUAAUAGAAGGUAGCUAUGAUUGUUGGGAUUUAGGUUAGUGAGGAUUAAGAAGAUAGGGUUGAAUUGAAUUGUCCAUUUCUUUCUUUCUAAAUUUCUUUUAGAAAUCUUUUUAUCACUCUCUCAAUGGGCUGAUUCUUAAUAAACUAUGAUUAUGGACGCACUAUUUUUAUAGUGAUUCAGCAUCAGCCUAUGUCCAUUCUCCAAAGAUACUCUCUAUCCUUAGGUUCUAUUCAUUGAUUGUUUAUAUCACAACAGUUGAUUCUACAAGCUCAACUCCCCUAAGACUUCACCUAAAAACCCUCUUCUAGAUUCAUGGCUCUAGAAGGCCUUACAUCAUUAUUUUCACAAGAUAUCUCUUCAAGUGAUCAAAUAAAUAAUCAAUGAUCUGAACUCACAAAAAUAUAAAACUAUAUUAUUGUGAGUAUGUGCAAAAGGUAACCAUUGAACACUUCAAACUAUUGUAGCAAUAGAAGAUGAACACUUAGAAGAUUGAUCCUUUGUCUUCUUGCUAUUUUUGUCAAUUGAUAUAAAGGUUUGAAGGCUUCUCAUUAAACUCAACUUGAGAGUAAAUGAUAUGUCAAAUGCUCUCCUCGAAGUUGUUUCUUUUUAAAUCAAUAAGUAAUUAGUUGACUAAUCCUCUCUCUCUCUUCUUCUUGAAUCUAUUCUGUGAAGAUCACUAAAUAGAAGAUGAUUGUAUGGAAGAAUAAAAAUAUUCAUUUAGGAUUAGUUCUUCUUAUUGGAUAAAUUAGUAUGAGCUAUUUAUAAAUUUUCUAAGAUCUCUAAUGACUAGAUUCACUUAAAAUAAUAUUAAAUUUAAAUAUUACAUAAAUCCAAUACAACAUAUCAUUUUGUUAUUUUGGAUAUCAUCUAAAGAAAUCAAUAUAUGAAUUGUUUAGGACUUAACGUUCAUAUUUGAUAACAAUCAGUUCACAAAAAUGUCACAAGAAUUCGAUAAGUUUUAUUGUGAAUCUAACAUGUCAUUUCUUACAAAAAUAAUAAAUUUUAUCUUAAAUUUUAUCUAAAUUCAGUCAAAAAAAAUAUGAGAUGUAAUUUUACUUCCUGAGCUUCAAUCAUGGUAUUUUAAAUCAUAAAAUCUCUAUCAAGAUUGAUUUAUAUGAUUUUUAACAUACACUCAAUAUAUAUUAAAAAAUCAUAUUGGUGAAUUCAACACUUGACAAAUAAUUUAAAUAAUUUGAUAUUUAAAUCACUAAAUUAUUAUAAAGUAAAAUCAUGGGUCUAUAGAUACCUAAAUAAGCUUUCAUAGCCAUAUUUUACUUUACUUAGACUCAUUGACUUGCUUAGUCAAAUCACUUCUUCUUUGACUAUCAUAAUUUCAAUAAAUAAUAACAUUUUUACACAACAACAUAAAAUAUUAUGGAUUUCUCAUAAUCUUAUCAUUCAACUAUUUAAAAUCAUAUCAUGAGAAUUUCUUUCAUUCAUUAACUUUUAAAUUUUAUGGUUCAUAUGUAUGAUAUCAUAAUAAAUAUUAUAUGCUUAUAUAUGAUAUAUUUAUCACUCAAUCACAUGAAUAUAUUAUUGAAAUAUAAUUUAUUUAGUGGAAUUAUUCUUAAUUGAUCUUUGAUGAUUUUGUUGUCAUCAAAAUAUGAUGCCUUCACGAUUCCAACUAAGACAACUGAGUUAGUGUAUUUACAAAAUCUUAUUUAAUAUCUAGUUUCAUAUAAGUUUUGAAAACAACAAUUAUAAUGAUUUAACUCACCUUGCCUAGUUCAUUUUAUAAGGACCACAUAUUUACACGUGUGGAAACUUCAACUAAUAUUGACUAAAUUUGAUAACUUUAGUUAUCACAUCUUCUUAAGCACAUGUUCUAGAUUCGUGAUUAUAAGUGGCCAAGUCAAAUUAGGUUCAAGCUAAUAUUUUUUACAUUGAAGGCUCUCAAUGGGUUGAGUCUAUGAUUUACUCAAACAAAAGAAAUUAACUAAUAAAUAUUCUUAACAUUUUUUGCAUAUAACUUUGAUUGAUGUAAAUGAGCAGACUUGAAUUCCAGUAGAAUGAUGUGAAAAUUUUGAUUAUGGAGAGCAUAUUUCACUUCAUGUGAUAGAGGGAUUAAUAUGUAUAUAGGGUAAUUUUUCUCUUCCACUUUGGAUUAUAAUGCUAAAAAAGGAUUGUUCUGAUGGUUAUUGUGGAGGACUGUAAAAGCUGGCCAUUUUUGUUUUUUAUCUUGAACUGCUACACCCUAAUAGCCUUCUUAUUAAGGGAGAAAACUCAUUAAUAACCAUAUUUUAUUUAACUAAAUUAAAAAAUUAAAAAUUUGAAAUUAAAUAAUUACGAAAAUUUUAAAUAAAAUUUUCAAAAGUUACGUAGGCUAUUUGAAAUAUAUUUAAGGGUUAUAUAAAUAAUUUCAUAAAUACAUAAGGCUAUUAUUUUAUCCUUGUAUGUAUUUUGUCAUAAAGUGUUGGAGCUUGUCUAACCAAGUGAGAUAACUCAAUUUGAGUAAUGGCUUCAUUACAAUGAGUAAUGAGUCUUCUUUCAACUAGAUGAGUUGAAUCACUUCCUUGGUUAAGUGUUGAAGCAUCUACAUUCAGGUAAGUUACUCACUUAUUGCUUUUGAUAAUUUGGCAAUGAUGCAGGAAAACAGCCAAUAAUAAAAUACUCUGUCUUUAAUAAAACUAAGAAAUUUCUAAGAGAUAAAUGAUCCCAUGAAUGUAUUAUAAAUGUUAAAUUACUUAUAUCACUUUAUUAAUAUUAAUUUCACUGCAUAAAAUGCAUCAUCUAAGUGAGUACCCUCCAUUCUAGAAAAUAAAAAUCUACAUGAUCUAUCUAGAAAAAAGAUGGAAUGGCACACAUGGUUAUAAAAGUAUUUUUCAGUAUUUUAUUGACAUGAGGAUAAUUUUGUUAGAAUUUUGUCAACAUCAGAUCUAGAAAACCUUUAAAACAAACAACACUACUACCAAUUAUUGAUUUUAGAAAGUCUAUAAUAGGAACCGAGAGGAAGUAGGUUGAGAUUUUGAAAUUCAUAGCAUAAUCUUAGUUAUGUAGUAAACUACAUGCACAAAAUGAGUUGAUUAAUGAAUCAAAUUUAUUCAAAGAUUUUUGAAACCAAUAUUUAUAAUUUUUUAGGACAUUAGGCCAACUAUAUUCACUAGAGGUCUUCAUCUAUGUUACACUUGCUCUCAAUUAGUAUAUGUUAUACUAAACAUUGAGAGUUCAACUAUCCAAUGCUAAAUUCAUAGCUUUAGGUGGGCCAAAUUGUGCCUCAAACACUUUACUUGAAGUAACAAGUUUAUGUUAUACUUCUAAAUUUUAACUUGAACUUUAUUUGAAUGUAUUUAUUAAUUACUUAUAAUGGUAUCCAGUACCAUUAGAAACAUUUUACAAUAAGUUAAAGAAAAGUUAUUUUGGCACUCAUUAUGGAGCUGUUGGCCAUUGAAAUAAAAACUACACCCUCCCCAAUGAUUGAUUGUGGUAAUUUUAAGAAUUAUUUGAAAGUCCAUCAAUGAUUAGUUUAUAUAUACUAUAAUAUCUUAUCUUUUUUGUAUUUUCCUUAGUCACAAUGUUAUUGAGAGAACAAGUUUUCUUCAUACUAAGCAAGUCAUAAGUCCUCUUUGUAUCUUAAAGCAAGAGAAGACAUGACUUUCUAAGCAAUAGAUGUUUACUUUUGAGAGUUUGACAAGGGUUACUAAAUGAUACUAUCAAUAGCUUACUAGUUAAAAGUGAACAAGGUCCCAUCUUGAAAAAAGAAAAAGUUAUGAAUACACUAACAAAUGGUUUUGAGUGCCAAUGAGACCUUACUAGGAGUUACAAUAGCAUAUUGCCUACAUUUUGAAGCUUACCUAAAAUAAAUUUGACAAAAUAUAAACUAUUAUUUCACCCUUGUGUUCAUCAUGUCAUCAUCAAAAUUGGAAGCACACAGAAAGCAUGCAAUGUCAUGUUUAUGUUAAUGUACAUACACAUCUUUGCACCAAUGCAAUGUCUACCUCCCCCACGUGCAUUUACCAAAAACAUUGUUGUGUGCCGUGGAAUUACUGUCCUUCAUAAUCUAUGCUAGUCUGUGUAUCUACCCUAAGCUUCUAAUGUCUUCUCAUCAUCAUGUGCUUGAUUCAGGACAUCUAUCCCCACCCAUUUACAUUAGGUGUGUAAUACUUUUAUUCCUUAAAUAGAGAUGAUGCUUUCAUAUGCUAAACAUGUAACUAUGCUAGUUAACUUAGAGGGAAUUGUCUCACUAUUACUUUUGUGAAUUGAUAAUGAUACCUUUGGUAAGAGUAUUUCACAUUGCAGACAUCUCAUCUAUCACCUUAAUUUAACAGUUGCUUCUUAAUCAUCACAUAGUCUUAAAUAUUUUAGUAAAGACCUAUUUCAUUUGUACACAUCUUUUGAAUCGAUUUUCAUCAUUAGUUAUUCCAUGAUCUUAGCUAGUAUAAAUCUUGUGUAUCUUGUCCUACAUCGUCCCCAACUGAACUUUUAAUCUAGAUGAGCAUGACUUUUAUAACUCUUCCUGGACCCAGCCUGAGUCCAUUGUGUAGAGUUUUCAGGCAUGGAGAGGAUAAUAAAGUGACUUGGUUAAAGCGGACUAAUAGGAACAAAAUUAAAAAGAUAACGCUUCUCUCUCCCACAUUGUAAAAACAUGCAAAAAGUCUGUACUCCCACUCGGAAAUAAAAGUUAUGAGGACCCUACUAACAUGAGAGAUCAUCAUAACACGAAAGAUAAUCCAGACCUUAUUGUCUAGAAUACCUAAGUUGGAGGUUUCUCGUAAGCAAACUGACAGCCAUUUCAAUGCCUUUCUUACUUUGAUGAACUCCCUCUUCCCAGGGAUGGGGUUUAAGAAUUUGGCUUACGUCCGUCAGAGCCAUGGGACGGCGCCGGAUAUGAACAUAGGAUUGAAUCCAAGCAUCCGGCUAGUUUUUGCCACUGAAUCGAAUUAGACUCGUGGAGAUUUCGAGCCCCAUGGGGUCGAGUCUUCAAGAAGAUUAUUUAGAAAAACUUAAAAUUAUCUGUGCAGGUGAUGCAAGGCCAGCUCGAGCAGGGGCCUGUGCAUUCCAACAAAAGAUAAUGAGUCUUCUAUUACGUGGACCUUGCAUCGUUCAGGAUGCAUGAUGAUUGUCAUGCUUUGAAGCACAAGAACCAUGGCAACUGGACCCAACAUGCGAAAUUUUGGAAAUGGGCAGCUGGGUAGGAAUAAGAAUGCAAAGAGAAACCGAGGAACGUCUGUCCAUGCAUGAAAUACAGUAAAAGAACCCUCAUUUCGUCUGCAUGGGAGACAAUCACGUCUGGUAGAGAUAAUGGGAGGGAGAGAGAGAGAGAGAGAGAGAGCACACCAAUAUGGCUAAGAAACAGCAGCAGCAGCAGCAUCAGGAUGCCCGUUAAGCAACAGGAGUAGCCUCCAACAGAUUCUUCACGUAACCGUCCUAGUUGACGAAACCCAUGAACCAAAACUCGUACUUGUCAGGUGAGACCACCUGAAUUUUUCAGAUGAAUUUACCUUUCUUGCUGAAGGAUUGGCCACUCAUAGUUGAUGCAAUGGAGUUAUCACCUGUCUUUCACGAGAACCGUCAAGAGAGAAAGAGAGAGAGAGAGAUGUCAAGCUUAUGGAGCAUGGACAAGAAUACAACAGUCAGGGCAGGCAAAGAUGGAAACUAACAUGGAGAUGAGAUGAGAAAAAUCAAUUGUCAAUUCAAGGAUAGAAUGAUGAUUCUUCCUUUCUAACCUAACCUUCAGCUGGGUGUCCACACGGGUAAGAUCACAAAAAUGAGAAUUAAAGAGGAACUACUCUUUUCUGUUUUGUUUCCACUCCAUAUUGUUGCCUUUUUGGACCAAACUUUUUUUUCCGUGCAGGAAAAUCAAACUAGAAUAAUUUUACGUUGUUAUAAUUAUACUGGAUAAAUAUCAAUAUAUCAAUAUUAAAUUAUGAUAAUUCUUAAAAAAACGAAUGAAAAUAUUUGACUCACAAUGCUGUAAAGGUAACUCUACACAGCAAAAUAGUAAAAAAAAAUUGUUCUGUAGUGGCAGCUAAGUAGCCAUUGAGAUACUUGGAACUAGACUAAAAACAGUGCAAGUGAUUUUUUCUGAUUCUUUUCAAGUCAGAACAACAAGAAGUCGAAGCCUUAUAAUGAGUUAGCACAAAUAUUCAUUUUUCAACAAUCAGGAUCAAAUUUUCACAUCUUUACGUGAACUCUUACAAAAAAAUAACUGUUCUAGCUGAAUGAGGAGUCUCCUCUGCUACACUGGUCCCCAUCCCCAUGCAAGGAAAGCUGGUGCCCAUGAACACGCUCAGUUCUACCAUAAAGACUCCAACUCUACGGUUGACACACCAAUCCAAAAGUUUUAAACUUUAUUUCGUUUUACACAUCUGGUAAAUGGUUCAUAGCUGUAGAGGACUACUACAAAAAGCAAGUACUGGGACUCAGGCAGUUACAAGAUAGUUAAUUUAAAAACAACGAGCAAGCACUGAGGACGAGAGUAUCUGUCUCCUAUCACCGUGAAUGUAGAGUAAAAUUUGGGCUAACACAUCUCUGUUGAACAAUAAAUUAAUUAAGUUUUAGUAGAACCAAAGACUUUCUAUAACUGCUUUAGUGCAUAGUACGACCAUGUCCGAUUCUCAAACCAUCUUCCUGUAAUAAUGAAUGGCUUUAACCUGCCAUGAACCAGUUGAUGCCAUCAAAACUAAGAGUGACCAAAUUUUUAGCUGAUUAUUCGUUCAUUGUAGAGGCAGAAACAAGACCACUUAGUAAAGCCAUGGAUGAGUCCUCUCUAAAUCGGAAAAUCAAUUCAGGAAUCAGUAAAUAUUUCUGAUCGUGGUGCCAAGAAAAGGCAACAUAUGGACUUGAGUUCAAGAUAAUUUUAUUUUUCAAUCAUUUAUUUAAGUAAUUUAUAAAUAUAUUAUCUAGUUUCAACAUAUUUUUUAAUUUUCCACUUUUUCCCCUGAAGCGACCAAUGUGAGACUGUCCAGACCAAAGUUAGUCAAUCCGGGAUCCGAUCCCUAUUCUAUGGCAUAAGUCAGAAGCAGAGUUUCUCCAUUGCAUAACAAUUUAAAGUAUCAAAAAUGAUGUACUAAGAUUGGUUGAUGAUAAUAUAACAACAAGAAUUUUUUUCUGACAUUAGAUGAACGAGAUUUACUUUGACAUCAACAGUGAAUUGAACCAGUCACAAAAGUUGAUAUUUUCAACAUCACUUCACUAUGAUUUGCCAUGAACACAGAUGAGGCUUCUGUGAGAAGAAAAAUAUCUAGUAACAGAAGCUAAAUCGAUACUUUUUCCGAUGUUACAAGAUAUACUGUAAUCUAUUAACAUCUGUCCACAAUGGGUAUGAGAUUUAUAUUGCAGUAGAAAAAUUAAAAUCAUAUAUUACAAAUAAAAUCUAUCUAGUAAGAAAAUAAAUGAACGCAACUUGCACUAUCUCCAUUCAGUUUGCUCCUCUUAUUUACACGGAAUGGGAUUGCCACUAUAAAAAGCCAGUUUUGGUGUAGAGAGACAUAAAGUACCCAUACCAGCAGCAGCAGAUGUUGAUCAGUAGCAAGCAUGAGACAUUAAUUCUUUCCUCCAGAAAGCUGUCAAUUCAUCGUUUAAAAAUCUUUUCCUAGCCACACUUCCACAAUAACAUCAUUUCCACCCUGCAAUUCUACCCAUUCCAGUCUCUGCAACAUUCGGAUAUGCAGAAAUCUAUAAAUAACUUUCAAAAAUUAAUGUUAGCAUGUUGAACACUAAAAAGUAUUAAGUCGCCACAGUUACAAGGUAACUUCGAAAACGAGAAUGUGAAAUGAGAAAUAAAUGACCAAACUAGGCCAGAAAUAGAACUAAACACAAUGCAGGGCUUAUUUUUUUCUUGAUAGCAUACUAACUGACAGAAAAGUUCAUUUCAUUAGUCAAUUUUUGGUUAUGAAAGUGGUCCCUGAUGUGAAACGAACUAAGAUCAAAACAUAGUUUUGAUGCAGAGUUUUGCGGUGUUUUCUUGUUUUAUUCCAAAGCAAAUCUUUCCUAAAUCAGUAUCAAUGGGCACCAGUAACAAGAUUUGCACAGAUACAGACACUUUAAUGUUAGACUAAUCAGGGGAUUGGCUCCUGACUAGUGACCAUCCAGACUUUUUAUAUAAGUAAAUCAUUACGGAUGCCACUUUGGGGUGAUCUUAAAAAGAGCAUCUUGAAAAGGCACUGCGAUGAUCAGACAAGAAAGUUUAUCAAUUCUUGGGGGCUCCAUCACUAGCGAAUUGUGGCAUCAGAGUCAAGAAGCCCCAGAGGACUUAAUUAUACUAAGGCAAGGAGAGAGUGUACCCAUGACCUUAUUUAUGCAAAGGAGGAAGGCAGUAUGAAGAAGGGAUUUUUUACAAAUUGGAAUAAAAGGGAAAAGAAUUUCAUCCCUUGCGAAAUUAGAAAUCUUCUGAAAUAAUCAGAAGCAAAUCCAAGCAGACCUCUUGAAUACGAACUUUUCUAUAAAAUAUCGCCCAACUAAGUGGUUGAAAGAAAAAGAGCCUGGAGUUUACCAUAGUUUACCUGCCAGCUUGAGCUCUAACAACGUGAUUCACUCUUUAUUAUGUUCUAUAUCAUUUCCGUGCAUUGAUUUUGUCCAUUUUUCGAUCUACAUCGUGUUUGAAAUAUUCAUUUUUCAAAGCAGCCACAAGCAGUUAUUUACCAGAAGAGAGUUCAAUGGCUUCCUCUUUUCUUUGUUAUUGAUCUUAGUUUAUUCCUUUAUUUUCUUCAGUCAGCAGAAGAUUCCAUUUAAGGACAAUGAGCCCGAUUAGAUCAAAAUUAGACGACCAAUGGGUCAGAUCGGAUCAGUGAGAAGAACGAUCUCAAAAGGAAAAUAAGAUUUGAUUAUAAAGUUAAUGACAAAUUCAUAUAUCUUAAAAGGGUAUUUAUAAAUAGUUCAAUUGAAAGGAGCAUAAAUACCCAACAAUAUAUAUGAUUUCCUGAAAUGUUUCGUCCACUCUGGAGAAAUAAGGCAGAUGCACACCCUAAAUAGACACAAACUCAUAGUAGGCGAUUACUAUAGGUUCUUGUAAGUGAGAGUCAAUGGAAAUCAUAUGCAUGGGGAGUCAGGUGGCAACAAUGAGCAGUGGAGUUCAUUUCUUAAAUUACCAUUUUUUGUUCUGUUCUUCACCAAAAGUGAUCUUUUUCCUCCUUUUCUUCUUCAUCCAUGGCAGAAAACACUUCCUGACGUCUGUUUUCUUUUUCUUUCUUUUUUUCCUUCUCCAUAAAGGUUUUAUUUGACUGAAAAUCUGCCAAUUUUUUGGCUGACAAUUGGGUGGUUUCCAGGUUCAAUCGCUUAGGUCUACAGUUACAAAAAAAGCCUUGUAACCUUAUCUAUCCACAAAUAAUCAGAAUCAGGCAAAAUGAAUGAACAAGUAAGAACACAGAUGAUGACCAUCAGCGUCAUUGAUUAUUUUUAAUAAAAAAAUAUAAAUUCCAGGUUUUCCACAGAAGUCGUUAGGUCAUCCAACACCAGUUGAAUUUUCAGUAACGUGGUUUUAGACCUGGACAUUGAAAGGGUCAAGAAAAGGGUGAGGUUAGAUGAGAUUUACUAUUCCAGCUGCUCCAAUGGAUGAGGUUAAUGAGGUUAAAUAAAUGGCUCAUAUAUAUACUUUUCCUAUCAUUUCUGGCAGAUUUUACUGCACAGAUAAAAUAAUUCAAGAAGAACCCAAAAGACAUGCAGGAAAUCACAUAUCCUUUUUCUGCAGAAAAUAUUCCUAUUAUUUUGUUGAUAAAAUAGCUGCUAUAUGUGAGCAGAGAAUGAUCCCAGCAGUUCCCAAUGGAACCAGAGGAAUUAAAAGUGAUUAGAACAGCGGUCUGAUAGUCCAAUUUAAGAAAAAACUAAUGAUACAGCCGUUAGCAUCUGUGACUGUGAUUCAUGCUUUAUUUGGAAGAGCUCUGGGAGCCUCAGACAGAAAGUUCCAAGUGCUAUAUAACAUCUAUUUGGGAAAGAAAUCCGUGUCAAGAACAUAAUCGAGUUGACAAAAUCGUUAGCAGAUCAGCUGAUCAUAUGGUUCAUGGGGGCUUCAGACAGCAUAUGAUGGCUCAUUUUUUUGGAGAUCCUCAUCCCAACUACAAGCAGGGAUAUUAAUGAGUAAGAAUUCAGAUAAUUAACUCCCUAAAAAAGAUUUAAUCCUCUCUCUCUCUCUCUCUCUCUCUCUCUCUCCUCUCCCUGUCUCUUCUCUCUCGACACACAGAGAUAUAAAUGUGUAGAUUGAUAGAUAGAUAGAUAGAGAGGGAGAGAGAGAGAGAGAGAGAGAGAGAGAGAGAGAGAGAGAGAGAGAGAGAGCGAGAGAGCGAGAGAGGAUGCUCUGCAACUGCUGGAGCUCUUCAAGAAUUGGGCAAGUCCCUGGAAGGGAACCCACUUUACGCGCAGCUGGUCAAGCCAUUAACCAGGGUGGGGGAAGGUGAAAUUCCCUCUCCAGGCUCUACCCAUCUGAAAACAAACAUGGAGAGCUGCUCAGCACAUAGAUUUACGCUCAGAGGUCUCAUUUCUUGCGCAGAUGAUCAAGAGUCACGGGCGGCGACGAGCCGUCACCUCCA
rnacentral:lncRNA from 1 species